rnacentral:lncRNA from 1 species
CAUUUUUGCCAGCCACCUACUGAAGUUUCAGAACUGUUGUCUGCUCAUCCUUUAAACUUCUUUUUUAUUUCCUUUAAACUAUUGUCUUAAAAGUUUUUAAUUGGACACAUUCACUAUUCUGAACCUUUGUGGAAUGAUAUUUGCUCUCUAUGUUGGCCAGUUUACUUCUUUUGCAAAGGUUUUUCUCAUUGCCAAAACCUUUGAUUCUUGUUUACUGCAGAACUACUAAAAUUAAAGGAUUUGAGAACUAUUAUUUUGUCAAAUAAUGUGGAAUGUAUAUUUCUCAACAGUAAUACUGUAGCUUCACUUGCUUCGCCGAAAACUAUGAACAUCCACGCGUAUUGUAAAACUCAUUAGUUGAAUCUCAUUUAGUUAACAUCUUCCUUGUUUCGGACGGCAUAAAAGAUUAAGUGGAUACGCUUAGGUAAGACUCUAAGUUGACUACGCCGUUCGGAGCUUCAAAUUAUAGUUUGUAUAAUAUAAAUCCACAACAUGAUUUAUUUCAAUUUUAUAUUUGACUUCGGAUAGUUUUCAGUUAUAUUUCUUUGACUUCAAAUUAUUUUUCAAUUAAAAGGCUUAUGAUAUAUAACAACAUAAUACGACAACGAUCUAGGGACGUCCCUAAAUGUUAAGAGUCAAACAAUUUAAUGAGGGUUUUCUAAAAACACUUUUUUUUUACAAAUUUGGAAACCUUUUUCUAUGUAAAAUUAAUAAAAAAAUUUGGGGACCCUAAACCGAUGUUUCAAUUCGCUGUGCUCAAAACCGCCCCUGACUAACAUACACAAAAACUGUAGAGUGUAAACAGCUGCUUUCCCGAAAGCCAAGUUUGUACUCAAACAAUUAACAAAUGAAAGCAUUAUGCUGAGUUUUUUUAAAGGAAGCAGCAACACUCAUAUAUUAUAUGAAUAUACAUUAGAAUUAAAACCAUUUUAUUUUUAAAGAAAAUGUAAAGGGAGACUAUAAAUAGUCUUACAAAUGUUUUAACUAGUGGCGAAUUCUUCUAACCGGAACCGCAUGUAACGGGUUGGCCUUGUGCAAGGUAAUACCAAAGGUUUCAUCCAUGUCGACAGCAUUUUGAAGCUUCCAGUCAAAGGAAUAAAGAAGAGAAAGAAGCAUAAGAGAUACCAUCUUCACGGCCAAAGGCAGUCCCGGACAAAUUCUUCGUCCAGCUCCAAACGGUGUUAACUCAUAAUUUUUACCUUUCACAUCAAUUUCUUUCCCCAAAAACCUCUCUGGCUCGAACCGGGUCGGGUUCUCCCACACCCCUGGAUCUCGUCCUAUGGCCCACACAUUCACCAAAACCUGAGCAUCUUUAGGAACAAAGUAUCCAAAAAUCUCAACAUCCGUUUCCGCUUCCCGUGGGAGAAGAAAAGGAACAGGUGGAUGCAAACGGAAAGUUUCUUUAACAAUUGCUUGUAUAUAUGGCAAUUCUGAGAUAUCAGGCUCUUGAACAAACCCGUUUAGGCCUAGCAUUUGUUUGAUCUCGGUCUGAGCUUUCGCCAUCGUUGUAGGGUUAGUAAGUAACUCUGCCAUUGCCCAUUCUAGGGUACUAGAGUUUGUGUCCGUGCCUCCUACAAACAUAUCCUGACAUAUAAUCACGUAUCAGUAUAUCGACAUUUCGGACAUAUAAAAACAAAUUAUGCGAUUCCAACUCAAGAGAUACCUCUAAAAUAUUUUUAUUCAACCAAAGCAUCAGAAGUUGACAUAUUCAUCAAAUGCAUGAUCAUCUAUGUAUAUAUAGUAAAAGUUUUUCUAAUAGUAGAUUAUAUAUCACACCAAAUAUAAAGAAAUGAACAGUAAUACUUAAAUAAAAGUUUUCUUUACAAAAUAAUAUUUCACUUUUAUUUCAUUUCCAUCUAAAUAAAACUACAUGUCUAGUAUAUAAUUUGUUUUUAAUCCAUAUGCUGUAAUAAAAAGUAGAUUUAUAAUACCAUUUAGUUAUAAGAAUAUUAGUGUACUUUUGUUGUUUUAUUGUUACAAUUUAAAAUAAAUGGUUUUAACAUUUAGAAGUUAUGGAUUGUACAAAAAUAAAUAAAUAAAUAGAGAACAUAUAUAUACUUCAAAUAUUAUUUUUUUUAAAGAGAUAAUCAUCGGAACAAUUUUUUUCUAUAAUUCCUUAAUUAAGUUUAUAGUAAAAACAGAAACAACUAUUCUAGAUGGUCUAAAGAUUUUUUAUCUCAUAACUAAUUGACUUUGAUUUCAUAUCCUAUAUGUCUUGAUAAUGCGGAAGAUGGCUUACCAAGAGAAGGUGUUCAAUAUCAUUUUAGUCGAGUUCUGCUUCUUCCCCUACGGUGAGAUCGAGAAGUGCAUCCAAAAAAUCGCGGUUGGAAGCAAAUUUUGGAUCAUUCCUCAGUGAUUUGUCCGCAGUUUUAAUAUCGAUGAACUCUCUGAAAACCUUAAACAAUUUAUCUGUACAAAACUUCAUCCUCUUGGUAUAACCUUGUAGAUUAAGAAACUCAAGAAACGAAAGAAGUUAGCAAGUUCUGGACUCCCAGCAGCUUCCAUGCAUUUGUCUUGGGGCCUCACUUGUAGUGAUGUGCUCCCAUAGACCUCUUCCUCCAAGAGCUGUCCUGGUCAAUCUCGACCAGGUAAUGUAGUUAGGACCUUUCAGGAUGACUGGAAUCCUCACUAGCUUGUGCUGCUCCAUCUUUGCUUGCUAUUGUCCAGCGGGUAAAAAAAGUAAAAAAUUCGCCAAGAAGAAAUUUGAAUUUCUGAGGCUAGACAAGAGAGAAAACAAGGGAAGCCAAGAUAUGUUCUCUAGAAAUGAAGAAAGUAAACCAAACAAGUGAAAGAGUAAGGUGAAUACAGUAAAUUUGCGGAAGCAGUUUGGUGUUCAAGAGCUUGGAGGCUCUGAUACCAUGUUAGAAAUUGAAGAACAUAGUGAAGAACAAGAGAGAGAGAGAUGUUUAAUCUAGAAAGUAAAGAGAGAGAUAGAGUAAAGAAAGAGAAUCUUAUUUGCUUGAUUGAUUUGCUUAUGGGAACAUCCUAUAUAUAUAAGGGUUACAAGUAUGGCAAAUGGUAGAUGAGAUAUGAUAAACUAAUAAUCCAUUGUCUUGAAACCUUAACCCACCAUGCAUGCUUAUCCCUUGUAGUGGCAUCUCCAUUGUCUUGAGACCUUAACCCACCAUGCAUGCUUGUCCCUUGUAGUGGCAUCUCCAUUGUCUUGAGACCUUAACCCACCAUGCAUGCUUGUCCCUUGUAGUGGCAUCUCCAUUGUCUUGAGACCUUAACCAACCAUGCAUGCUUGUCCCUUGUAGUGGUAUCUCCAUUUUCUUGAGACCUUAACCAACCAUCUUGUUUCUUAUUGCUUCAUCUUCACACUCCCCCUCAAGCUUGACCAUAGAGACUGGUCAAGCUUGGAAACCAUGAAGCAUUCCCUCAUUAAAACCUUUAGCUUGGAAAACCCUCAUGGGAUAAAAACCAAGCCAAGGAAAAAGAGUAGAACACUUCAUGGCUAAGAGGAUUAGUGUGAUGAAAAAUUUACGAGUCCUAACUUGGAAUGUAUGAACUCGCAAACCUUGGUGCUUGCAGCCUUGGUAAAGAUGUCAGCUAGUUGAUCUUCACUUCUUGUGUAGCACGGUAAGAUGAUCCUUUGUUCCACUGCUUGCCUAACUUUAUGACAAUCCACCUCAAUGUGUUUAGUCCUCUCAUGGAACACGCUGUUGGAAGCUAUGUGUAUUGCUGCUUGAUUAUCACAAUGCAUGGUGAUUGGAGUUGAUGUCUCUAUACCCAAGUCUCGAAGUAGGUUUCUGAUCCAAAUCAACUCACUAGUGAGCUUCCUCAUUGCCCUAUAUUCAGCUUCAGCACUUGAGCAUGACACUAUCUUCUGUUUCUUGCUCUUCCAAGUGACAAGAUUGCCUCCAAUAAAUGUACAAUAGCCGGUAGUGGAUCUCCUAUCCACUCUGUCUCCUGUCCAAUCAGCAUCACAAUACCCAACUAUCUCUGUAUUUUUGUUGCAUCCCAUCCACACUCCUUGUCCUGGCUCCUCUCUUAGGUAUCUUAGGAUCCUUUCAACCAUGUUCCAAUGGUGUAUCUUGGGAGCUUGCAUAUUCUGGCUUACUUGGUUAACUGCAAAGCAUACAUCAGGCCUGGUGAUGGUGAGGUAUAUCAGCUUUCCUACAAUUCUUCUAUAAUGUUUAACGUCAGUAUAGGGCUUGUCUUCAAUCUCCCCCUCACGCAGCACCUUAUACCCAUCUUCUAGUAGAGUCUUGGCUACUCUCGCUCCAAGCUUUCCUGCCUCAUUCAAAAGAUCAAGUGUGUACUUCCUUUGAGAUAAGAAAAGCUCCUCUUUAGAGCGGCAUAUUUCUAUCCCUAGAAAGUACUUUAGCUCACCCAAAUCUUUAAUAUCAAAAGUAGACUUAAGAAAGACUUUGGUUGAGAUAAUACCUUCCUUGUCACUUCCUGUGAUGAUAAUAUCAUCUACAUAAAUAAGAAUCACCACAAUUCUUUGCUUGCUUGUGAGUGUGAAGAGUGUAUGAUCAGCUUCUGACUUUACAAACCCUCUUCCAUUGAGAGUUGUGCUCAGUUUGUGGUACCAAGCCCUUGGUGACUGUUUUAACCCAUAGAUUGCUUUCUUCAACCUUAGGACAUUCCCUGGCUUGACCAUGUCUUCCAUACCCGGAGGUGGCCUCAUGUAAACCUCAUCCUCCAGCUCUCCUUGAAGAAAAGCAUUCUUGACAUCCAUCUGCCAUAAAUUUCAUUCCAAGUUCACUGCCAAUGAGAGUAGAAUCCUUAUGGUGUGAAGUUUAGCUACUGGGGCAAAUGUAUCCAGAUAGUCUUCUCCAUAGACUUGGGUGUAUCCUCUUGCAACUAGCCUUGUUUUCUUUCUUUCUGGUUUCCCAUUGGCAAGGUACUUAAUGGUGAAGAGUAGACGGCUUGUAACAGCUUUCUUUCCUUUGGGGAGCUCAGUUUCAUACCAAGUAUCAUUCUUGAUCAUGGCACCAACUUCAUCCCCAACUGACGCUUUCCACUCUUCAUGCUUCAUGGCUUCUUCAUAAGCCUUUGGUACAUACUCUUGAUCUAAGUUGCUGAUGAAGACUACAUGCUCUUCAGAUAGUCUCGCAAAAGAACAUGUUGCUUGGAUAGGAUGAGCUACUGCAUUGUUGUUGAAGUAUAUUUUGGUGUCCAUCCACUGAGAUGGUUUCUUCACCCUUGUACUCCUCCUUAAUGGUUGAACUUCUUGUUGCAUUCCAUCUUGAUCAUUAACAACUUCUUCUUGGAUAGCUCCUUCUUGGAUAGUUUCCUCGUGGAUAGCUUCGUCAUGGAUAUCUUCUUCAGGGAUAGCUUCCUCAUGGAUAACUUGCAAAUUAGGUUGAUUUCCCCCCUCAUGAUCAGGAUGGACUGCUUCUUCAAUUGAUGUAGCUUCAUCCACAACUGGAGGUAUAUGUGAAGUGCUCGGUACACCACUUGUUUGAGGCAGGCUGAUGCCAAGGUUUUCCAGAAUGAUUCUCAAGUUGUUUGCCCUAUCUGAAGAUCCUUGUGAGAGAUCCUGAAGGCUUUCCCAACUCUUUUCAUCAUAGUAUCCCUUUGAUUCCACAAACUUAACAUCCCUUGAGACCAUAACUCUUCUUGAUUCAGGUAUGUAGCACUUGUACCCCUUCUGCGCAUGAGUAUAUCCUAUGAACAUGCCUUUGACACUCUUGGCUUCAAGCUUGUUUAUUUGUUCCCCUAGUAUCAAGACAUAGCACACACACCCAAAAACACGCAAGUGAUCAAUUGGAGGUUUUAUUUUGUUUAAUACCUGAAAGGGAGAGAUAUCUUGGAGGAUUUUGGUGGGGAUCCUGUUGAUCAAAUAACAUGCUGAGACCACAGCAUCUCCCCAGAACCUCUUUGGAACAUUGGUAUGGAACAUCAUGCUCCUUGCAACCUCCAUAAGAUGGCGAUUCUUCCUUUCAGCAACUCCAUUUUGUUGUGGUGUGUAUGGGCAACUUGUUUGAUGGAUUAUGCCAUGUUUUGCUAAGUGAUGUUUGAAAGCAGUGCUUGUGUAUUCUUUGCCAUUAUCAGACCUAAAAAUUUUGAUCUUGGAAUUGAAAUGGUUAGAUACAUAGUUUUGGAAGUUAAUAAAAGCUUCUAAAACUCUAUCUUUAGUUUGAAUCAAGGUGAGCCAUGUAUAUUUUGAUUUUUCAUCUAUGAAUGUAACAAAAUAUUUAUGGUUCUCCCUAGACAUACAAGGUGCUGUCCAAACAUCAGAAUGCACAAGAUCAAAGCAAUUUUCAUAAAUAGUCUUAGAAUUAGGGAAAACAGAUCUCUGAUGUUUACCAAGAAUACAAGCCUCACAACUUCCACUCUUUAAAGAUAGAUUAGGUAACAUCAGUCCUAAGGCACGAUAAUAAGGAUGACCUAAUCUAGCAUGCCAUAAAACAUCACUAGCUAACACAGAAGCAGAAUUGAAAGCACAAGAUAAAUCUGAAAGCUUGGUGUUUUCAAGCAAGUAAAGCUCUCCCUUGCUCACACCCUUUCCCAGCAUCUUCCUGGUCUUAAUAUCCUGAAAGCACACAUCAUUAGGACUGAAAAUAACAUUACAAUUUAGAUCAUUGGUUGCUCUCUUAACAGAUAAUAAGUUGGAUGUGAAAGUAGGCAUAUAAAAGGCUUGAGACUCCUUAUCAAACAGUUUCAAGUUUCCUACUCCUUCAAUUGGAAUUCUAUCACCAUUAGCAAUCACUACACUCCCUAGAGCAGGUUUAACAUCACUAAUCAGUCUAGCAUCCCUAAUCAUAUGAUGAGAAGCUCCCGAACCAAUGAUCAAAGGUCUAGUAGUAUGUGAAGCACUGUGAAUAGAAUUUAAAGCAUUGACACUGAUGUUACCAGAGUUUGCAUUGAUAGCCUUGAUAAGGGCUUCAAUGUCUGACUUGCGGAUGAAGGCAUCAUCAGGGGAUCGCUGAGACAUGGCAUGGGAUGUGGAUCCACCAGUGUGGGUGGUUGAGAUCAUAGCUCUUCCAUCUUCUCCUAUGCGCAUGGAGCCUGGUAUUGUGGUUUCAUGAGCUCUUGCUUCAUGUGCUUUGGCCUGGUUGUAUCUGUUGGUUGAAGCAGGUCUGAGGUGAGGAUGGAGGAUCCAACAAUUGGUUUUGGAGUGGCCUAUAUUCUUGCAGUGCUCACAAGUCAUAGACUUGUCUCCUCCUCUUCUUGGUUUGAAGUGUGCUUUGUUGACUGAAGCACUCUCCAUCUUCUCAGCUUUGUUUGCCAUAGACAGUUCCCCUUUUCCACCAAAGAGACCAUCUGAGCCUAGCUCCUUCCGAAGUUGAGCACACACAUCAUCAUAGCUUGGAAGCUCUUUAGCUCUCAAUAUGUGUUUAAGUACAUCAUUGAAGCUUGGGUUGAGUGUGAGAAGCAAUCCAAAGACCUUGUCUUGCUCACGCCUCUCUUCUAGUGUACUAGGAUCAGUGGUACUUGGUCUCAGCAUCUCAAGUUCAGACCACAGCUGGCUGUACUUCCCAAGGUGUUUGGUGAAGUCCAUCUCCUCUUGCUGCAAGUUGUUGAUUGCCCUCUUAACCUCAAAAAUUCUGGUGAGGUUUGAAGUGUUUCCAUAUACCUUGUGUAAGGUAUCCCAUAGCUUCUUUGCAGUCUCACAGUGUGAGUAAGACUCCAUGAUAGGAGUAUCAAGUGAGCCUUGCAAGAUAGACAACACCAUGAGAUCCUCCUAACCCCAUUUGCCUUCAUCUACCACUACAACCUCCUUGCCAUCUUCUCUUUGGGUGAUUUGUCUUGGGGCCUCACUUGUGGUGAUGUGCUCCCAUAGACCUUUUCCUCCAAGAGCUGUCCUGGUCAAUCUCGACCAGGUAAUGUAGUUAGGACCUUUCAGGAUGACUGGAAUCCUCACUAGCUUGUGCUGCUCCAUCUUUGCUUGCUAUUGUCCAGCGGGUAAAAAAAGUAAAAAAUUCGCCAAGAAGAAAUUUGAAUUUCUGAGGCUAGACAAGAGAGAAAACAAGGGAAGCCAAGAUAUGUUCUCUAGAAAUGAAGAAAGUAAACCAAACAAGUGAAAGAGUAAGGUGAAUAGAGUAAAUUUGCGGAAGCAGUUUGGUAUUCAAGAGCUUGGAGGCUCUGAUACCAUGUUAGAAAUUGAAGAACAUAGUGAAGAACAAGAGAGAGAGAUGUUUAAUCUAGAAAGUAAAGAGAGAGAUAGAGUAAAGAAAGAGAAUCUUAUUUGCUUGAUUGAUUUGCUUAUGGGAACAUCCUAUAUAUAUAAGGGUUACAAGUAUGGCAAAUGGUAGAUGAGAUAUGAUAAACUAAUAAUCCAUUGUCUUGAAACCUUAACCAACCAUGCAUGCUUGUCCCUUGUAGUGGCAUCUCCAUUGUCUUGAGACCUUAACCAACCAUGCAUGCUUGUCCCUUGUAGUGGCAUCUCCAUUGUCUUGAGACCUUAACCAACCAUUGCAUGCUUGUCCCUUGUAGUGGUAUCUCCAUUGUCUUGAGACCUUAACCAACCAUUGCAUGCUUGUCCCUUGUAGUGGUAUCUCCAUUGUCUUGAGACCUUAACCAACCAUUGCAUGCUUGUCCCUUGUAGUGGUAUCUCCAUUGUCUUGAGACCUUAACCAACCAUCUUGUUUCUUAUUGCUUCAUCUUCACAAGAUACACGAGAAAUAUCAACAGUUACUUCUCUCUUGCUGCUUUCAUCCAUGAAGCUCACAAGCUCUUGCACCUUUUUCAUCCUCAGAGCUUUAGUGGCUUCAAUACGCUGGGGCGAGAACAGGUGUGUCACAGACAAUUUUCUCAACAGUCUGAAAAAAAAAACACAACAACAAUUUGAUUAGUGUCUUAGGUGUCGUUUGUUGCGUUUAAUUUGAAUGAUUGCAUAUUAAUAAAUUAUCAGCUUGAUUAUUAUGCUGACAAGAUUUCAGUAGAAACACAUUUGAAGAUUGUAAAAGUAAUCACGAAAAGCAUAACAAUCAUUUAAUUUUCCUAUGCCUUUCCUAACUUAAAGUUCGGUUCUAUUAUCAUUUUUUUUGUAUCGUCUACAACUUGCUAAAUUUGAAUUUGAGCUAUGAUAAAUAUUGUGUAUAUAUUUUUUUUAGCAAAUAUUGUGUAUAUAUAAAAUACUUUAUCUGUUUCAUAAUAUACUUAGUUUUAGAAGUAUUUUUUUCAAAAUAUAAAUAGUUUUCAUAUUUCAAUGCAACUUUUGUAUUUGUUGGAUAUUAUUUGAUCAAUUAAAUUAUGUAGGUUUUUUCAAUAUUAGUGUUUUUAGAUAAAACUACUUUUACAUGGAGUAUAAAUAAAAUAUUUUAUUUAGCAAAGACAAAUGCAAAUAUAUACCAGCUACAACUAAAAAUUAUACGGUCUUUAGUUUGCGUUUGUAAGUUAAAACUUAUAAAUUAUAACUACUGUAUAGUCUUUUUUAUGGAAACACCAUAAAUAUAUUAUAUUUUCUUCUUUUUUGUAGCACAUAUUAUAUUUUCUUAAAAUGUAAAUAAAAUGACCUAACUAUUAAAAGCAAACGACAAAUACAACUAUAUGCAUUUGAUCGAAAAAAUCCAAAAUAGUUAGCAGCCAAACUUGAGAAGAAAAAACCAUAGAAAAUAUUCGAUAGCACAAAAUACCUCCAACGAGCCGAAAAUGGAUGAAUCCAUGCAGCAGAAACUUUGUGGUGACUGAUCGACCGUACCGCGUUAGGAGCCUUAUGGUCAGACAAGGUUUGAUCGUGUGUUCUUAAAACCUCUCUUGCAGCUUCCGGUAAAGUUAUGAUCACUGUGUUUAGACGUCCAAAUUUUAGAUGCAUGAUUGGUCCAUAUGUUCUCGAGAGGUCCGCGAAUGAGCGGUGCGGGAGUUUACCGACUUGGUGAAUGUUACCUAUGAUCGGUAACCGUGGAGGUCCAGGAGGCAGCGUGGCAGAUCGGGGAGAGCUCUGUCGGAAUCUUGCUGUAGUAAAAAUAAAGAAACAUGAUAGGAUAAAGCAAAUGGGCAAUAACAGCUUUUCUGAGAAAAUUUCCAUCUCUGCUUUCUUAGUUGAUAGAAACUACACGAACCUAUAUAGAUACAUCAUUUUAGAGUGUUUAUGGAGUGGUAAUAUAUUAUAUAAACUUUGUUUGAAUCAACUACUGAGGUAUAGUAAAGAAAAUAACUUAAUGAAUAUUUUAUAAAACUAUGUGUAUUUCAUUACUAAACUAUAGCAUUUGACAUUUGGCUGGUUAUCUGUUGCAUGUUAGUAUUGCAAUUCUUAUUAAUUAAUAGAGUAGCAGUUAAUGAUUUGUGUCACCAUGCGUAUCACGGGCUAAUCAGAUAAUGUCCCAUCAAAUCCCGAAGAAUCCAAUGAAUUAUUGAGGCGUUAAAAACUAGUACUAAAUGCAAAUAACAUUUCCAAUAGUUGGUUUUAUUUUUAUUUUCAAAAGUUCAUUUUCUUCAAAAUAAAAUAAAAAAGCAACAUUCAUUUCAAUAGUUUGUUUCAUUUAUUUUUUGAAAAAAAAACAUUUCAAAUAUAUUUCAUCUCUAUUUUAUCAUUAAUUACUAAUUUAUCUUUAUAUUUUUUUAUAUUUACUAAUUUUACCUAACUACUUUAUUUUAACAAUAAACCAACACAAUAAUUAUUUAAUAUAAAUUAAACAGUAUCAUAUAAUAAAUAAAUAACAUAACAUGAAUAAACAAACAUAAAAUAUCAUAGUUUGUAAAAAAAUACUAUAUAUAUAAUUUUUUCUAUGAGUGAUUAAUAAAAGUGUUUAGAAGUAAAAGAUAAAAUUAUUUAUCUUUCUUUUUUUGAUUAACCUAGAGUAUCUCAGGCCCAAAGAAAUGCACAGACUAAUCUUCAUUCGCGGAUAGACUCUUUCUCCAGGCAUUCAAAUGGGUCAUGUAUUAAGUGAACAGGAUAACUGUGACUUAGUUUUGCACAACAGGUGGAUCGAACUUGAAAUGUAUUAGCAUCUCACUCCCGCCUCCUUACCACCCGGCCACAAUCACCCGGUCAUCUUUGAUUCUUUUUAAUUGAGUUAAAAGUUCGUAAACAGACCAUUCUUCCAAGAAAAAAUUUAUAUCAGUAAUUUUUCGAUCAACAAUUUUAUUUGCCGCAUGUAUGUCAGUUUUAAUUCUUUUUUUUUGGAGUAAGAUGUCGGUUUAACUUGCUUCAGCGAAAACUAUGAACAUCCAUGCGUAAUAGUUUUAUUUUUGAGCAAAUUGGGUUAAAACCAAUGAAAGAUAGGGAAAUUAAGUAUCUACCAAAAACCAAUGUUUUUAAACCCGGACCGGACCGCCGGUCCGACCGGGUUCAACCGCGAACCGGACAUCAGUCUGGGUUGGGUUGAUGCCAAAACCCAACUACAAUUGAACCGGUAAAAAAAUCAUAUUGAACCGUUAAAAACCCAGGAACCGUUGACCCAACGAACCGGUAAAACCCUGGUUCGUUUAAAAACCAAAAUUUUGUUUAAAAAAUAAUUAGUUUUUCCUUUUUAAAUAGGGUUUGUUAACAAACUGCAAUUCACAAGGUAUUGCCGUGUUUGACGUCUUAUACUUUUGAGUCGUUGGCGUCUCUGCAAGUUACAUCUCACGACUCACAAAGUCACAAGGUAUUUUCUACAUCUCAAGGUAUUGUUUUUGUGGGUGAGACUAAUAAUUAAAAACUUAUGUUUGUGUCUUUGAUGUCUCUGCAAAACUUUUGCAGUGUACUUAGGAUGGAAGAUAAUGAUCAAGAAAUUCCACUUUCAUCAAAUUCAAACACAGAACAUCAACAACCAUCACAACGUUCCACUCGUCAAAAGAUUUAGCAUGGACAUAUGUCACUCAUACUUUAGAUUCAAAGGGGAAAACCAUUCUUACAUGUAACUUUUGUGGUAAGGUUAAUCAUGGAGGUGGAAUCAAUAGAAUGAAACAACAUAUGGCGGGAGUGAAAGGAAGCACAAACGGAUGCACAAAGGUUCCUCCAGAAGUUCAACACACAAUGAGAAAAUCACUGAAAGAAAAUGAGAAAAAAGCAAAACAGAAGCGAGGAGUGAAUAUGCAACUUCACGAUGUUGAUGAUGGUGAAGGUUCUACUCAAGUUUGUGUGCCUACAAGUCAGAAAAGAAAGGUCGGUACGGAUGUAAACUCUUACUUUAAAAGGGGUCUAGAAGAUCAGACACAGCCAACUAUAAAAUCAUGCUUGCAAAGUAAGGAAAAGGUUCAUGAUGCUGAUAGCAUUAUUUUUCUAUGAUGUAUGUAUGCCUAUGAAUGCAGUUAAUUCUAGGUUCUAUCAGCCUAUGAUCAGCAAAAUUGCAAGCAUGGGUCAUGGUUAUGUAGGGCCUUCUUAUCAUGCUUUAAAGGUUGGUUUACUACGUGAUGCAAAGCUGCAAGUUUCUUUGAUUAUCGACUCUUUAAGGAGUACAUGGGCUGAUAGUGGUUGUACUUUGAUGGGAGAUGGAUGGAAAGAUACUAGGCAAAGGCCAUUGAUUAAUUUUUUGGUCUACUGUCCUAAGGGGAUAACUUUCAUCAAGUCUGUUGAUGCUUCAGGAAUAUGUACAAAUGCAGAGAAUUUGUGCAACCUAUUUGCGGAGAUUGUGGAGAUGAUUGGACCACAAAAUGUGGUCCAUAUGGUGACAGAUAGCGCACCUAACUACAAUGCUGCUGGUGGUAGGCUUGUAGAAAGAUAUCCUACCAUAUACUGGUCACCGUGUGCUGCUCACUGCAUUAACUUGAUAUUAGAAGAUGUGGGAAAGCUGCCUCAUGUGCAUAAUUUAACCAGCAAUGCAUCAAAGAUCAUUGUAUUUGUGUAUAACCAUAAGCAUAUUUUGAACUAGUUGAGAAACAGGCCGGAUUGGAGAGAGAUAAUUCGCCCUGGGGAAACUCGGUUUGCUACAAGUUUCAUAGCUUUACAAAGUUUACAAGCCCAUAAAGAUAUUUUGCAGAGUAUGGUUGUUGAUGAGGAGUUCAGAAAAAUCUCAAGAUCUGAGAAAGCAAAACUUGUGAAACAGCUUAUCUUUAAUGAAGACUUUUGGAAGGAGUGCUUUAUGAUUGUGCAGAUUAUGACUCCGUUGAUCCGUUUGUUGCGUAUUUGUGAUGCUGAUGAGAAACCAUCGUUGCCUUAUGUAUAUGAAGGGAUGUAUAGGGCACGGCUAGGCAUCAAAAAUAUAUUCAAGAAAGAAAAGCCUCUUUAUAGGUCUUAUACGAGGAUCAUUGACAAUAGGUGGGAUAGGAUGUUGCGUAGUGAUAUCUAUGCUGCAGCUUAUUUUUUGAAUCCUGCCUUCUUGUAUGACCAAAAGAACUUCUGCGAUAAAGCCGAGAUUACAAGAGGAGUGCUAAAUCUGAUUGAGAAGCAGAAGGGCAGUCUAAGUGAAACAAAGUUGGUAUCAACCCUUCGUUGCUAUAGAGAUCGAGAACUUAAUUUAUCUCGAGAAAUGGCACUUACUUGUAGCAAAACGACUCGACCCGGUAAGUAAUGUCGUUAUAUUUAUGCCAAUAUAACAUGUUUUCUUCUGGUCAGUUACUAAUAUAUAUUUUUAUUAUAUUUACAGAUGAAUGGUGGAAACUAUUUGGUUGUGAUAUUCCUGAUUUGCAAAAGCUUGCAAUCCGAAUCCUUAGUCAAACAGCUUCUUCAUCGGGAUGUGAGCGAAACUGGAGUGUCUUUGAACGUAUUCAUACCAAAAAAAGAAACAAGCUAGAGCAUCAAAGACUCAAUGAUCUUGUAUAUGUUCACUACAACUUGCGUUUACAAAACAGGUUAGUUAGUUGUGAAGUUUAUAACAAAUAUUUGUGUGUCAUUAUUCAUUUGGUAAUACGCUAUUGUUUCUUUACGUAGGUAUGGGACAAGAAGAUCAUAUGAUCCCGUUGAUUAUGAGUCAAUUGAUAAAACUGAGUUUUGGAUUGUGGAAGAAGAAGGAGAAGGAGAACUUGAUUUUUCUGAAUUAGAAGAUAAACUUCUUGAAGAAUAUCCUAAAGAUGGCGAAGAACUCAAUCAUGGUAUGAUUUUGAAUUUUAUUUCAAAAUAUAGUCUUUUUAACUAAUGUGUAUAUUUUUUAAAGGUGAUGCAGAUUAGAGUGAUAAAGACUUGGAGAGCAAAAUUUAAAUGUUUUUUUUCUUAUAAAUUUUAGAUUUGGAUUAUUAAAUUGUUUUAUUACUUUUAUUACAUUUAAGUUUGUUAUUUUUGAAGAUUUUCUUAACAUUAAGGUUAUUGAAACAUUUUAUUUGAGAUGAUUUAUCUUUGUAACAAUAUACAUAGAAAACAUCAUUAGAUUCAGCUUAAUCUAAACGAACCGGAUCGAACCCGGUCGAACCAUAAUGACCCCUGGCCCAAAAUAUUUCUGGUUCGCUCGCCGGUCCGGUUUUAAAAACAUUGCCAAAAACAGUAAAACAUAAAGUUGUCACUGGAAGUUAAUGACGAUAGUGUCCUUAGUAAUCGUCCAAUCGAUUUUUCUGUGGUAGGAUACCUACAAUAACUAGUUGGCAGGCACAAUUUCUUUAGAUUUGUAAAAAAUUUGGGAAUAAAUUAUAAAAAAAUAAUUAAAAAAAUUGUAAAGAUACGUACGUGUUAACUUAUAUUUGGGGUUUUCUCUCAUUAUUUUGUCUCCAUCGAGUGAAAAGGAAUUAAACAUGUUUUCUUUCUCUCAACUCUCUAUGCAUUUUUCAGAAAGUAAAACCAUUAUUUUUUAAUUUUUUGAUCUCCGAUCAGUUUGUAAAAUAUAUUUUGUUCUUCAUCUGAAUCAUUUUGUUUCAUAUGGGUGAUAAAAUUUCAUUUGUUCGGAGUAGAUCUCAUUCCAUAGAUUGUUGUGUAUCUCUUUUUUUUUACUCUUUUCUUUCUACAGAUUUAAUUAAAGAAAAUGUGGUUCUGAAUUCUGUAAGUCUCACCGACAGCUCAACGCAACAUGCAUGGAGAAGGAAGAUCUCCGCCGUUGCUACUCAGAUUUGAGCGGGCUUUGUUGUUAAGUCAUGGUGAAGAUUCUCUAUGGGUGAUGGAAAAAGCACUUAUACCAAUCACCAAUAAAUUCUCAAAACAAAAUGAAGCAUUCUAUCUUUUGAACUUCAUUGUCUUUCAUUUCUCUACAUCCUGGAGAUUCUUCGGGUUACUCGACGAUCAAGACAACGCGUCUAGUCAACACGUCUCAUUCCACCUACAGGACCCGAGGGUUUCGAUUAAAGUUAGAGAUUAGGUCUCAUAACCCUCACAAAUAGGGAUAUGAGAAUAUGAUAAUUAGCAAGCUAACAAAUUUAUUAAUGAUUAAAUAACAAAUUAUACAAGCAAUUUUUAGUUUAGCCAGGUAACUGUUUUUGGGAAUCAGAAGUGGUGAAGAAACUGUAUUUUGAUGUCUUCGAACAUAUAUGUGAGUACAAAAUAUGGCAUUAUAAGUAAAAAUAUAGUUUAGCCGGCUAACAAAUAUAUGUUGCACAUCUAUUAGAUUGAUUAACCAGAUACUAAAACUUUGUUGAUGUAAACAUUAUAAAAAUAAUUAGUUACGAAAUUAUGUUUCCGGCUAACUCAACUAUAGGCUAACUCAACUAUAUUUCCUAUCUAAUAUGUUGUCAAACUAGAUGAACACUAGUAGAAAACUUCGAAAUACACACGUUUUGGACACAGUAGUAUCGUGACUUAUUUUGUGUUAGUCACGACAAAGUCACAUUUAGUCACGAAAUAGGACAACGUGACAAUCGGUGUCUUUUUCAUGGCAAAAUAGACACGAAUCGGUCACAUAUGUUUUCGUGACUAAACGUAGUCACGAUUUGUCACAAACUAUUUGUGACUAAAAUGUCACGUUUUUGAAACCGUGUAUAAACCGUGGCUUUAAGAGUCACGAAAUGACACUAGAUAAACCGUGACUAAGACAAUAUCUAAUCAAAUAAUGGUAAACUUUAGUCUCAUUCUAUUUCGUGAUUAAAGUGUGACUUUUCCAACAAAAAAAUGACAUAGACUUUACAUCAAAGUCAGAAAACGGGACUGUUUUGGCUGGGAAUAUAUUCGAAUUUGGUUGGUCACAGUAGCCAUCGUGACAAAAACAUGUCAUAUCUAGUCACGGUUUCAUUAUUGUGACAAUUUCCGUGACUAAAACAACACAAAACAAACACUUUCGUGGAAAUGAAGAACACAAUAUCAAACAAAGAAAACCUCUCCUCUCAAUAUUUUUUUGUGUUCUUGACACAUUAGUGAACGUCUUUUCUCAACUCUUUCUUGUGCAUUCCAUAAUUUCAAUGUCUCAUUUCUUUCAAUCAAGAGAGUGGAUGGAUCGACAUUUGGAUCCAAUCCAAAAUUGUGUUUCUGAAGAAUUUAUGGAGGGAAUUGAAGUGUUUCUUGCUUUUGCUUGUAAUCAAGAGUCUUAUCAAGGAACAAGCACUAUGUUGUGUCCGUGUGCACGAUGCAAGAACCGGAAACAACGUGAUGCAAAGACGGUUUCUAAACAUCUUUUCCGAGUAGGAUUUACGGGGAAUUACUAUGUUUGGUCAAGUCAUGGAGAAAGCUGUUACAAUGUUGGACAAUCUUCGGGGACAAGUCAUUUUUAUGGAGAAGAAGCACCAGAAGAAGCAGAAGGUACAAACUAUCAAAUUCCAAACGAAAUGUACGUUAAUAACCCAUUUUCCAAUAUAAAUAUAAAUUUGGAAGAAGAGGUUGAAGUAACCUCUACAUUGGAGUAUGUGGUGGAAGCGGGUAAUGAAGAAACAUAUCACGAUAACGUUUUUAGAGCCUAUGAAGAUGCAAGCCAACCACUUUAUGACGGAUGUUCUGAAGGAAUUUCUCAACUAUACUUGGCUUCACGCAAAAACUGAUUACAAUUUGCCAGAAGCUUGUAUCGACGAGAUAUCACAAACUUUUAAAGAUGUUCUACCGAAGCCGAAUAAAGCGCCAUCAUCUUAUUAUGAAACGAAGAAGCUGGCCCGAUCACUUGGCCUCCCUGUUGUAAAGAUUGAUAUUUGUGAGGAUAGCUGCAUGUUGUUUUGGAAAGAAGAUAAAUAGCUUUUGGCAUGUCGGUUUUGUGGUAAAUACAUAUACCAUCCAAACAGAGGAAGAGGAAAAAACCGUCCUAAACAGAGGAUGUUUUAUAUGCCGAUUACGAAACGGCUGAAACGUCUAUGCCAAGUAGAGAAAACUGCAUCACAUAUGCGAUGGCACGCAGAGCAUAAUUCUCCUGAAGGAGAAAUGCAUCACCCAUCAGAUGGAGCGGCAUGGAAGCAUUUUAAUGGGGUAUAUCCUCAAUUCGCUGCUGAAAGUCGUAACAUUUAUUUAGGCUUAUCGACAGAUGGAUUUAAUCCUAUCGGUAUGAAUGGUGAAGCACAUUCGAUUUGGCCCGUUAUCGUAACUCCAUAUAACUUACCACCUGGUAUGUGUAUGAAAAGGGAAUAUUUAUAUCUGUCGAUACUAGUUCCCGGGCCAAAACAUCCGAAAAAAGUCUAGAUAUUUAUCUUCAGCCGCUGAUUGAAGAAUUACAAAGUUUAUGGAGUGAGGGGGUGGAAGCUUAUGAUAUCUCAAAGAAAAAAAGAUUCACAAUGCGAGCUGCACUGAUGUGGACAAUAAGCGACUUUCCAGCAUAUGCAAUGCUUUCUGGUUGGAUGACGCAUGGUAGAUUAGCGUGUCCAUAUUGUUUAGAUGAUACAAAGGAUUUUUGGUUACAAAAUGGAAGGAAACAUAGUUGGUUUGAUUGUCACAAAAUGUUUUUGCCUCAGAAUCAUCCUUACCGGUGAAAUGUUAAACGCGUUUCGGCGGGGACAAACAGUAACAGAUGAUCCACCCCCGUGGCUGAUUGGAGAAGAAAUUCUUCAUGAAAGAAUAAACAACAUUAAGGGGUUGUCCAAAACAGUUGAUUGUGGAGGAAAAGGCCACGAGAAGGCUGCACAGACGAUAUCUGGCUAUGGAAAGGAUCAUAACUGGGUGAAGAAGAGUAUUUUUUGGGAUUUGCCAUAUUGGGAGAACCUUCUUCUUCGACACAACAUUGACUUCAUGCAUGUGGAGAAAAACUUUUUUGAUAAUCUCACCAACACUGUGUUGAAUGUUCCUGGAAAGAGAUAACAUUAAAUCGAGGAUGGAUCUCCCUAAUAUAUGUAGAAGACAAUCUCUACAUUUAAACGAAGAUGGAACUAUGCCUGUGCCGAUAUUUAGGUUGUCAAAUGAAGAAAAAAGGCAAUUUCUCUCAUGGCUGAAGAAUGAUAUAAAAUUUCCAGAUGGAUACGCUUCAAAAUUUAGUCGGUGCAUUGAUGAAACAAAUAUGAAGCUAUCAGGGUUGAAAAGUCAUGAUUGUCACGUUAUUAUGCAACGUCUUUAUCCAUUUGCAUUUCGUGAACUCCUUCCGAAACAUGUUCAUACCGCAAAUUCAGGUUAUUACUUAAUUAUAAGAUUUGUUGAACUAUAUUUUUAUUAUUUAAUGUUUCUUACUUACUAAUAAUUGUAUUUAAAUUUGCAGAGAUUGCACUUUUCUUUCGUGAUAUCUCAGCAAAGAUAUUGCGCACCGAAGAUGUUGUCCUUUUGAAAGAAAAUAUAGGGGUGAGAAGCUUUGUAAUUUGAAGAAGAUAUUUCCUCCAUCGUUCUUUAAUGUCAUGGAACAUCUUCCUGUGCAUCUACCAGAUGAAGCUGCUUUAGGUGGUCCUGUCCAAUAUAGAUGGAUGUAUGUCUUUGAAAGGUACAUGUAUCAUCUGAAAAAAAUGGUAAAAAACAAGGCAAAUAUUGCAGGGUCCAUUGUUGCACAAUGUUUGAAUGAGGAGAUAUCAACUGCAUCUGCAACUUACUUUGGGAAAGUUCGAUUUACUUAUACUUAUGAAGAUGUACCAAAUUUGUUUUAUCAUGAAGGUCGGGUCAGUGGAAAAGCCACCACGAGAUGGUUAACAGAUGUUGACUUCACCGUCUUGCAAACAUUUAUGUUGCUCAAUUGCGAUGUGUUUGAACCUUAUGAAAGGUAAUAUUUUGAAUUUAGAUUUAUAUCAUCCUAUUAUAUAAUGAGGGUCUGAGUCACGUUUUUUGCACAUGAUGUUUGAUGAGUUCGUGAUGGAAGCAAACCCAAAUAUUACUAGUAAUGAUCUACAGAGAGCGAAAGAUCAACAUUUUGCAAAAUGGGUGAAAGACUUCGUAAGUUUUGCUUAAUUAACUUGAGACUUUUGUAAUUAUUAAAUUUUGUAAAAUAAAAAAAUAACAAAAUUUUAUAAUUCAUUAUGCCAACAUUACAGAUUACAAAUGCCAGUGAAACAUAUAAGUUCCCUUUAUGGAUGUUGGAUUUCAUUCAAGGACCGUAUCAUAAUUACACAUCGUGGCCGAUAUAUUUCUCGCGAGGAUAUUGCUUCCACACACAUAGCCAUGGCCAAGAUAAAAAUACCCAAUAUUAUGGUGUGUAUGUCCGUGGAACCACCGAGACCGAGUAUUAUGGGCUGAUAGAAGAAAUCAUGAUGAUCGAGUACGGUGGUGCUGUUGGCUUGAAAGCCAUGAUUUUCAAAUGUAAGUGGUUUGAUACAGUAGUGGGUCGUGGAAUGCGUAAGUAUAAGUCGGGGAUCGUUGAUGUGUCCCCCCGUGGCCAAUAUGAGAAAUAUGAUCAUUUUAUAGUUUAGUCGGCUAACAAAUAUAUGUUGCACAUCUAUUAGAUUGAUUAACCAGAUACUAAAACUUUGUUGAUGUAAACAUUAUAAAAAUAAUUAGUUACGAAAUUAUGUUUCCGACUAACUCAACUAUAUUUCCUAUCUAAUAUGUUGUCAAACUAGGUGAAUUAAUUUUUUUAUUCAAAUUGAAAAAAUAAUCAAAUGAUGUAUCAUUUCGUCCUAACCACCAUUUUAUCCAUAAUUCGUUUCUAUAAUUUUAUUAACCAACCAACAAUGUUGUGUAUCAUGGCUAAUAUAUUACGUAAAUGUCUACUAUAUUAGUUUAUUGCGAUGCACUAACAUAUUUAAUAUAUUAUGUGAACGUCUACUAUGCACCAUAAUGAAGGUGAUAGUGAUCAAUCUAAAUGUUUGUUAUGUACUAAGAUAUCCGGCUAAUGGAAUUGAGUUACCUAUACUAAAUAUUAUACAUAUCUAAUGUACAAGAUUAAUUGAUAUAAUAUUAUUUACACGGCUAAAUAUAUGUUCUCAAAGUCCAGGACAAGAGAUCAAACUCUAACACCUUCUCAGCCAAAUCAUCAUCAUCAUUACCAAAAGUUUCUUUCAUCUUCUUCUUUCUGAGAUAUAAAAGAUUCAAAGUCGUGUUCCAUGGAUCCAAGUUGCAUGGUAAAAAGACUGAGAUCCACUAACUUCUCAGAGACAAAAGCAAAAUUCAAUUCAACUUUUAUCAGAACUUGGUCUCACUUGAUAGUUGACUGUUCUAUGAUGUUUUGUUUCUAUUUCUAUCUGUCAAAUCCAAAAGAGAAUUGCAACAGAGAAAAAAAAUUCAUCAAUCUUUUGAGUUCCACAUGUUUUACGCUAUGGUGAAAUCAUAACUGGGUCUUUUACAAUAGCGAAAAAUCUCUUCAGGAUUGGACAUGUUGGUGAUUGCCCAUCGUUGUUCUCCAUUUACAAGUUUCCCAAACAACAAAUUCUAGAAAUUUUCAAGAACAAAUUGUUUCUAGGCGAGAAAGAAGAAUAUUCUUGCAGAAGAAAUAUGAAAGAGAAAGAAAGCUAUUGAUUUUUAAUUUUGAAAAAGUUUGUAAUAAUUCAGAGAGAUACGAGAAAGAACUCAUGAUGAUUUGACAUGGGAAAGAGAUAUUAGUAUAGAAGAUAAGAUCUUAGCAAAUCUUAGUAUUAGAUUUUGCCUAUAUACAAUUGUAGAGUACGUUAUAAUAUAUAUGUAGGGGUAGCAAUGUCACAGAUAAAUAUACACAGUGGUCUGAAUAGUGAUAAUUUGUAAAGAGUUAAACAGCCAAAAGUUAUUUGGUAGGAAUGCCUAGUUUCUCUUUAUUUUUUGCUUGUUUGAUUACAGUGCGGUCCCGGUAAAUGCAUAAUGACUAAGAUUUUUUUUUUUGAUCAAAAUGACUAAGAGAAACAUUAUUGGUAGGACCAAAUUGUGUGUCCUUAGGUUAUUUUUUUAUUUUUUUAUGUUAAGAGACAAAGGUAAGGACAGUUGCCAAAAAUGUAGAUUAUGGUAGGACUUUUUGUUGUCUCUUAAUAAAUUAAUUGUUUAUUUUAAUAGGAAAUGAGAUAUAUAAAAGAUAAGUUUAAAAUAAAACAUAUAACAUUAAAAUUGAAAACAUAAGAAAAUUACAAAGUUGCCAAAAAAAAUUACAAAGAUCAUAAAUAAAAGCAAACAAACAUUUUUGUCAAUUCAUAAAAACUUAAAAAUUAUAUGUUAUUUGGAAGAUGUCCAAAUUUAGCCCAUAUAUUUUCAAUCAAAUCAUUUUUUAAUUGUUGAUGGGCUUUUGCAUUCCGAAGUCUCGUUCGACGAUCAUUUGUGGUGUCGAGAUUGUCGUGAUUUGUAGGCAUCCCGAUGGAAAAUGUAUGCUCCACAUCUUCUUCUUGUUGAAAUUCAAAAACGUUAUACUGAGUGAAUGACUCUCGUUCAUCUUUGACAAUCAUAUUAUGGAGUAUGAUACAUGCUCUCAUAAUAUUUGUUAUUUUGUCUUUAUCUCAUAACUUAGAUGGAUUUUUGACAACGGCAAAUCUAGCUUGCAGGACUCCAAAGAUACGUUCAACAUCUUUUUCGCACAGGUUCUUGGGUUUUAGCAAAUAAUGAAUUUUUCUCACCUUGGGGUAGUCGGAUAGAUUGAAUAAAAGUCACCCAUUUCGGAUAAAUACCAUAUGUGAGAUAAUAAGCCAAAUGAUACUCAAUUCCGUUGACACAGAAGUUUACUUGUGGCGCUAUUCCGUUAAUAAUGUCAUCGAAAACAGGUGAUCUAUCAAGAAUAUUAAGACCGUUCAUAGUACCUGGAGCUCCAAAAAAAGUGUGUCAUAUCCAGAGGUCAUAUGAAGCUACCGCCUCCAACACAAUUGUUGGUUUUUCGGUUCCUCGUGAAUACAUUCUUUUCCAAGCGGUGGGGCAAUUCUUCCACUCCCAGUGCAUACAAUCGAUGCUUCCAACCAUCCUCGGAAAUCCACGUUGUUACCCAAUAUGGAGUAGUCUUUCCAGAUCCUCCAGUGAGGGACGUCUUAGAUAUUCAUCGCCAAACAAGCUGAUUAUUCCGGCGGUAAAAUUGUGCAAACGUUUUCGAGCAGUUGUUUCAGCAAGUCGGACAUAUUCGUCAACUGUAUCAGCCCCACCACCAUAUGCCAAUUGACGAAUUGCUGCAAUACAUAUUUGGAAGGGUGAUAAACUAGACCGUCCGGCUGCAUCUUGUGUUGGUUGAAAAUACGGUACUUCUGUGGAGAGACGAUGCACAAUACGCAUGAACAAUGAUUUGUUCAUUCGAAACCGUCGCCGGAAUAAAUUGUGAGUAUAUGUUGGAGUGUCGCUAAAAUAAUCAUUCCAAAGCGUCUCGUGGCCUUCUUCCCGGUUUAUGUCGAUAAAAAUACAUUUUUCGCUCUUUUGGUUCUGGAAAAAGAUCAGGGUUUUCAAAAAAAUCAUCAAACAUGUUAUUAAAAUCAUCAUCAUCAUCUUUGUGGUAAUGAUAAUGGGAAGAAGAAGCCAUUUAAAAUUUUAAAAAGAGAGAAAAUGUUUUUAAAGUGAGCAUACGAGAGAUGAUUUGAAUAUAUGUUAUGAGAGAAGAUGAUGAUGUAUUUAUAGAAACUAAAAAAUGUAUCUUGUGAUAUUUGAAAUAUACAUCUUGUGAUGACAUCUUGUUUUCUUGUGGAAGAAACAAACAACCCAUGUGACUCUAGAGUACAUCUUGUGAUACUAUAGUACAAAGAUGAGAGAAUGAGUUCAAAGAGUACAAAUUACACAUUAAACAAAGACAUAGAGAGUACAAAUUACACAUUAAACAAAGCCGAGAAAGAGUUCAAAUUCAUUACAAAUUACACAUAAAACUAAGACCAUAACUCAUUACACAUGAAACUAAUACCAAAACCAUAACACGAACAAAGUAUUCAAAGCCAUUGGUAAACCUGGAUUUCUUCUUAGCUAACUCACACACUAUCUUCUCUAGCCUAACCAGUUUCUGCUCAGUCUCAUAGUCACUCAACAAGGUUAGAGUUUCAACCUUUUCAGCCAAUUGAAGUGUGUGUCUAUCCCUGGCUCUCAUCUCCUCCAUAACCGCCACAUCCCACCAUUUCCAUACAUGGCACUCUCCAUCAUCAACAUUAUCACAAAUGUAGUAUCUUCUUACCAGAUCAUUUCUAGUGUAAGAUGUGGCUAGAACAGGUUGACUACCACAGUAGCAUGUCUGCGGAAAUCCAAACUCAACCUCGGGUUGAGGAGGGUACUGAGCCGACGCACCAUAAUUGUAGCUUAUCUCAGCUCGGUCUCGACGUAUAAGAUCUUCUGUCUCGUUGUAGCUACUGUCAGCUGUCUCCCCACCAUACUCCUCUGAUUCAGAAGGCUGGCUGUAGCUACAGUCAUGCCCCAUGUUUAGCUAAACCUGAAAAAAAAAAAAGACAACGUAAAGAUAAUACAAAGAAAGGCUCUAAUGCUCAGAAAAAAUAGACAAAACCACAGAAAGAGUUCAAAGCCAUUAUAAGAGUUCAAAGCCAUUUAUAAAGUAGAUAGCAGCAUUAACACAAGUGAUUCUUUAAUAAAGAUAGACAUUUAAAAGCAAACAUAAAGUACAUUCAUCACGUUAAAGAUAAUACAAAGAAAGGUUCUAAUGCUCAAAGCCGGCAGCGAGUACGUAAAACAACAUUUAAAAGACAUAGUUAUAAAGUAGAAACAUAGAAAGACGACUCUAAUGCUCAGAAAUACUCAGUGAGUAGCUUAUUCUUGACAAUUUCUUCAGCCUCACUCAGUGGUUCUUUUUUGGCUAGGAGAGUGUCUAGUAUGGCCAGCUUUGACAGUUUAUCCUUCAUCAUGAGAUCCUCCUUCUUCAUUUCCCAAAUGUUCGUAUACUCAGCAACAGACUUCCCUUGACCAUUAUUCAUUUUAGCUUUAGCAGCUUUUACACCUUCAGGCCGGAUGUCUUGAUCACCAACAGUGGUGCUUGAAGUUUGGGAACCUGUCUCACCAGUUUUUCUCUUUGAACUGCCAGUGGGUUUAGGAGUGUUAAGGUUAAGCCAUUUCUGUUCAUACCUCAACACACACCACACAUGCUCAAGAUUAAACUUCGUGUUGUGAUCAGAGUAGAAGAUGGCAUGAGCCACCUUGAGAACAUCAUUUUCAUUCUGACCAGAACUAAUUUGUCUUUUUGCUGCCGCAUAUGCACCACAGAACUUGUUCACUAGAUCAUUGAUUUUGUGCCACCUCUGCUUACAAUGGAGAUGCUCUCUUGUUUCACCGCUCUCUAUAGCAUGAGGACUUGCUGCGACAUAUUCGCCUACUCGUUUCCAAAAAGUCCCUGACUUUUGUUCAUUCCUAACGACCGCAUCCUUAGAUGUGUUCAGCCACCCACUGAUUAGAACCUCAUCAUCGGCUGGGGUCCAUUUCCUUCUCUCCUUACGGUCCACUGGUGUGUCUUCAUGUAGAGUUCCAGCGUCGGUUUGUUGUGAACUGAAUGGAGGAAAACUUUCAUAAAGAAAGUUUUGACUGUUAAGAAGGCCCAUAUAACUAGAUGACUGGCUAUAUGGAUCCAUAGCUAUUAGAACAGGGAGGGAAUUAUAGAAGAGAAACCGGAGAGGAGGGGAUUUCGCAAACAAGAAAGAAAGAAGAUGGUGGAGAUAUAUGAUACAAUGAAGGAUGGUUGGGGUUUAAUAGGUGAAACUCUAAGAAGUAAUAAGUUACAACCAUAAACUUCUAAGAAGUAAUGACCGAACCAUAAACUACCAAAGUAAUGACCGAACCAUAAACUCUGAGAAGUAAUGACCGAACCAUAAACUACCAAAGUAAUUACCAAACCAUAAACUCUGAGAAGUAAUGACCGAACCAUAAACUAGAAGUUAUUACACAUUACACAACCACAAAGCUAACAAGUAAUUAAAUAUCAGUUUACUUUUCGCAAGUAACAAGCUCUGUGUACUAAUUCUAUCAGAAGAAAUCAUGAAUCCCUAAAGCUACCGUAAGCAUACACGCAUGAACAAUUCUGUUUUUGUAAUCAAGCUCUUUUUACUAAUGAAUCUACGCAUUGGCUUUAUCACUGUAAUCCCUAAAGCUACCCUAAGUAUAGCAUUACUAAUGAAUCUACAGAUUUACUCAAAAGAAUUCACAAGUCAGAAAUUUAGCAUUAAAUCCAAGCAUAUAAUCAGAAACAAAUUAGGAACCAUCACAAACACGAAGUAUCACAAACACGAAGCAUUGUCACAAAAAAAAACAAAUCAAACCCAGAGACGAAUAUAGAUCAACUCAUUAAAUCCUCUAUAUCGCAAAACGGAAGACAGAGAAGAAACACAUACCUGGUUUCGAUUGGAUUGGCGGACAAGCUUUGGAUUAAAGGAGAGAUCGUCGUUGAUUGAGCUAUAGAGCGGUGUGGCUGAAAUCGCCGUCGAGAGAGAGAGAAUAGGGAGACACCGAGAAUGAUUUCCAGACCGAAACUCGUCUUUCCCCUACAAACACGAAGCAUGCAAUGAAAUCGUCACAACAAAAACCAAUCAAACCCACAUAUAGAUCGACUUUUAAAUCGCAAAACAGAGGACAAACAAGGAGCACAUACCUCGUCUAGAUUCGAUACGGCGGAGAAGCUUUGGAUUACACGAGUGAUCGGUGUCGAUUGAGAGAUCGAUUGAGCGAACACGAAGCGGUGUCGUCGAAAUCGCCGUCGAAAGAAAGAGAAUAGGGAGACGAGACCAACAUUAUUUCGAGACCGAACCUCGUGUUUCCACUACCCCUUCGGUUUUCCUAUCACACGAUGACACGUGCUCCUUAAGGACGUCGUCGAAAACUUCUUAUUUAACCCACGUCUCUCUUCUCUUUCCUUAUUUUUCAUUUAUUUUUCGGCUCCUUUUCAAUAAGGACGACGUUAGCAUAAGCCGAUAAUGUUGGUCUAAGAAUUUUAUAUUAGUCAUCGGGCUUCUUAACCCAACAACACAAAAGUCAAACUACAUCUGAAAUUAUUAUUUAGUUACGGUGAUAAAUGUUUAGUGUAGUAACCAGGCCUGUUCCUAAGAAAAAUCAGGCUGGAGACAAUUAAGCCUAUAAAUUCACAAUUAAACACCCAAACAAAUGUUGUCAAAAAAGAAAAAAAAAACACCCAAAAAAUAAUUAUAGUACAGUGGAGUUUGAAACUUCCAACUUCCUUGGGUGUAUUUCAACCUUUAACCAACUAUGCUAUUAGAUAUAGAUUAGAAAGUGUGGUUGAAAUAUGUAAUAUUAGAUAUUUAAAAAUGGGCCAGAAGCACACGUUUCUAUAGCUUCUGCCCAAGACCAGUACUAGUAGUACCAUAAUGUCCUGAUAUAUCGAAUUCGCAUUUUGUAGGUUGCCAGAGGCUAGCAUGUAAAGAACAAUACGAUUCCAGGAAUGAAUCUUUUGAUGACAAAUAAAAGAAUAUCCUGAUAAUAAAACCGUGUUUGAUUCUUGAAGUUUUCUUAUUCAGUUUAAUCAAAUGAUGUAAAAAGAAAAAUGGUUAUGGCUAUUCGGGCUUUGUUUCCUGUUUAUUCGACCUUGUACAUAUGUAUUAAUUUGGUUAAUAUAAGAGCGCUCUCUCAUUCAUAGUACGAUGGGGUUGUCAGAAAAUAAUAAGAUGUUAAUUUAUGUUAAAGUGAUGGUUGAAGUUCUUUUUUUCACGAAGAUUAACUUUUACCAAUGAUCAUAAUAAUCAGAAGUCACGGCAUCAUGUAUUACAUUUGGGAUAUAACCAUGAAAAAAAAGGAAUCCGCAUUUGAAAUUGCUUGUUUUGCAAGUAUAUCAACACAGGCAUUUGAUUCUCUGUUCGUCCAGAUAUGUUGGAUAUCUUGGUUGAAGUUCUUAAAAGUUUAGAUAUCCAUCCAAUAAACCUCAUAUUUUUGGAUGGAGUUGUUCUAAUAAGUAAGAUCUUGCAGUACACAAAUUGUUCUUUCAUUUAUAACAUUUUUCUUUUGACAUCUCUUUAGCUAGCAUGUAUAAAAGUGCAUUGAUUUGAAAUUAAGAAAGCCUAGCUACACCUAAUGUUAGCUGGAUGUCAUUUUUAACAUUUAUGAUUUAAUAUCUCACUAAUUAUAUUAGGCUGAGUGAUCCAAUAGAGAUUGACAGAAGUCCCUCUACAUGUCAAAAUCAUAUUCAUAACAUUUUUUUCCAAGAAAGAACCAGGUCCAGAACUUACAAAACAGAGAAUCAAAAUAAAUAAAAAAGAGUAUUUUACUUGCAAGAAAUAAUACAGGAUACAAUUUCUUUCGCCGAAAAAUGAAUGUUGUGUAAUAAAUAUUUCGAGAAAAAAAAUACACUGUAUUUAGAAACACAAAUUAAACAACAUGAACAAAACUGAAAGACUCUAAGAUUCUGAACCUUCUCCACCAAGUUAUUGUAAAACCACCAAGACACUUGUAUUGAACUUGAAUUAAAUCUUUUAUAUGAAUAAGAAAAGACUGCAACUUCCAACCUCCCUAAGCAGCCAAGAAUCUUGAUUCCACUUUGCAAAACCAAAAAAAAAAAAUCUCAACUUUGUCAGCAACCCAUCACUGCACAAUUGUAAACAAAAUUCGAUGAAUGUUUCCUAUCAAGCAAUGUCCACACAGGAGGGCUUCUAUCGUUACUUGGAACCCAAGAGUUCAGCUCAAUGAACCCUCCACCUGAACUCCUAGGUCCACCAAUCACUAUCAACCUCUCGCCGCAAGCUCUAAACGCUAAACCCCAACCGUUAACCGAACCAGCUCUCUCAGGCAACCUCCCUAACGUAAACCAUCUCUUACUCUCUUUAUCAUACUUCCUCACUUCCAUACCAGCAUGAUCCGCCGCGUACAGCUGGUUGUUCACAACAGCAACAAGCGGCGGCGCUUCUGCUGACGCUGGAGUCUCCCUGCUCCUCGGAGGCGACAUCUCCGGAAUCUCAGUCCAUUUCUUGGUCGCUAAAUCGUACUCCUCACCGCCGCCGACCCCUCCAAUCACAUAGAACUUCCCAUCCAUGAAGACACCGGAACACAUCUUCCUCGGCUUGUUCAUGUUGGGAAGCGUAGUCCACGACUGAAGCUCGGAGUUAUACAUCUCCGCAACGUCACUGAUCUUUCCUAAAGAGUCACACCCACCAGCGAAGAUAGCGAUCUCUCCUAAACUCGCCGAGCCAAACAAACACCUCGGAGAGUUCAUCCUCUCACCGGGAGACCAAGAGUUAGUCAAGAGACUGUAUCUAUACACAACGUGGGAAGAGUCGUCAUCUUUGCCUAAGACGAGCAAAUCUGUUCCGACAGCGAGAGACUCUUUGUCCGCACACAUGAAAGUGACACCCGAAGGCAUCGUCGGCAGGUUCAUCCAACGUCUUUCGACGGGGUCGAAAGCGACCCACUCCAAGAGCUGGCAGGAGAAGUAAACCCAGUGCUCGACUAUCAUGUUCUGUCUCCUGAGUCGGUAUAUGUCUCCGGAGUUAACCAGAGACCGGAAACUCCGGUUUAGGGAGGCGAUUGAGGGGUAAUCGGACCGGGAGCAACGGAGCAGACAGCUUAUCGAGUUGUCUCUGCCGAUGUCGUUGAUUAGUGAAUCGCCAUCGCCAUGUUGUUGUUGGUGAAUUGAGAAUCUCGUGAGUUUGAGAGAUUUGCUUUGUCUGAGCUCAUCAUCAUCAUCGAAAGCUCUUUUGGCGUUUCUGAGGUUAGAGGCAGAGGAAUCUUCUUCCUCAGAUGGAUGCAUGUAAAGCCACUUGGAUUCUGAGAGACGAGAAGAUGAGAAAACCCUCGCUAACAGAUACGUCCGAUCUUCCACCAUCUUCAAUCACUAAAUCACACCAAUGCAGAGAGAAACAGAGUACUCAGAUUCGAUUUAAAGUGUUCUCAUUUUCGUUAAAUCACGAUUAUAUCGAUUCAGAAACACCGAUCCAGCCACCAAAUAACAAAACCCAGAAAUAAAAAUGUCAGCUUUCAAUAGUCGGAUUUUUCCAAUUUCGAAACCCAAUUCACCCAGAAAUGAAAAAAAAAUAAAAAAUCAAACCGUGGGGAUGGCUGAUCUCGAUCUGGGUAAGAUUCCUAGAAGAAGAGAGAAAAAAAAGGAAGAGAAAGAGAAGAGAUUAUAUAUUAACAAGGGAGAGGUACUUACGGAUUGAAUUUGAUUGGAUUAACGAAAGAAGAAAGAAAUAAAAGUUUAUAAGUUUUCUGUUUCCGUUUCUGUCGUCUCUCUCUCUCGUCGAAUCGGAGUGAAGAAGCGGUAUGAGUCUUUUUGGAGCUCAAAUUCAACUUUCUCUCUUUAUCCCUCUCUUUAACGUUUCUCUCUCUCUCUCUCUCCUCUUUGUUUAAAUUAUUCUUUGGGUUAAAAUGAUGAAAAUGUAUUUGUUAAUCUCACUAAUUUAAAUAAAUCUUUUUUCUUUCUACAUAUAGAGAGUCCAAAUAAUUUUAGAUAAGUUUUCUCUCUUUUUUUUUCCACACUUGCUAACGUAUUAAAAUCAAGAAAUUGAAACUGAUUCUAGUUUUGUUUUCUAGUGUUCAGUAUAAAUGUUCUAAAAGUUUCAGUACUUUACCUGUUUUUUUUUCAUCUGGUCAAAGGAUGUUAAAUUGCUUUGUAAUAUGCACGUCAUAAAUUUUUUAAAAAUUAUCAUAUAUCUGCAUACACUUCUCCAUAUUCUGUUUCUCUACAAAUAAAGAGUUGCUCAGUUUUAUAUUAUUUCAAAUAAAUACUCUAUUGUCAUCUCACAAUUUUUAUAUAUGAUUUAUUUAUAUAUAAGGUACAUUUUCAAUUUUUCAUCUUAACAGAGUACCAAUGUACUCUAAACUAAAUUCUCUUUCAAACAAUUCCAUUUGUACUAUCACAGAAAAAUGUCAUUUGAACUAUCUCACCCGCACUAUUCUAGGCCAGAUAUAUUAGUGGUAUAUGAAUUGAAGGAAAAAUUCCAUUAGUUUCGUUUGAUUUUAUUUUCAGUGGAAUAUAGUAGUGGUAUAUGAAUUGAAGGAAAACCUUUUUUUAUCAACUUGAACUGGAGGACAAAUAAAGGACUUUAUUAUAUGCAUUCCGAACAGUUUUUUUGUUAGGAAUAUAAUGCUUCUUUUUCACCGAAUAUAAUAAUUUUUUUAUGUUUUUCGAAUAUAUAUAUAUAUAGCUUCGAUAUGGUAAAAUAAAAGAAUAAAAGUUAUUCUUGGGUUCAUCCACUAGGGUGAACCUCUAGGUUCACCAGCCAAUAGGAUUUCAUUAUUUCAAUUUCGAUAUCUUUUAAAAAAGGAAACAAAAUAUUAUCAAGUUAUAUUAUGUUUUGAAAAUUAAAAAAGUUAAAAAAAAAUAGCAGCUACAGAAAAAAAAAUUAAAAAAAUCUUUUUAACGUCGUCAGCAAAACACUAAACCCUAAAUCCUAAUCCUUAAACUCUAAAUCUUAAACUCUAAACGCUUGGGUAAACCCUAAACCCUUGGGUAAACUCUAAACCUUUAGGUAAACCCUAAACCCUUGGAUAAAUCCUAAACUCUAAAUAAAAACACUAAACCCUAAAACUCUAAACCCUAAAACUCUAAACCCGAAAUCCUAAACCCUAAACCCUUGAGUGUUUUAGUGUUUAGUGAUUUUGAUUUAGAGUUUAAGAUUUAUCCUAGAGUUUAAGAUUUAUCCUAGAGUUUAGGGUUUACCCAAGGGUUUAGGGUUUAGGAUUUAAGGUCUAGGGAUUAGGAUUUAGGGUUUAAUGUUUUGCUGACGACGUUAAAAAAUUUUUUUUUUGUAAUUACUACUAUUUUUAUUUAUUUCUUUUUAUCUUUUAAUUUUAAAAAGAUAAUNNNNNNNNNNNNNNNNNNNNNNNNNNNNNNNNNNNNNNNNNNNNNNNNNNNNNNNNNNNNNNNNNNNNNNNNNNNNNNNNNNNNNNNNNNNNNNNNNNNNGUGCGUUUGCGGGAUACUUAUGACUGGUUAACUACCAAAUGCAGCAGCAGUUAAAUAAUAAAUUAACAAUAUUUACAUUUUAUACAAUUAUAAAAAUAUCAAAAAUAAUAAUAUUAUAAUAAAUAUAAAAUUUAUAUUUAGAAAGUUAUAGUUUAAAUUUUUUAAAAAUAUAGAAAAUAUUUUUAUUUUAAAGUUUUAUAAUAUUAAUUAAAAUUUAAUUGAUAUAUUUUAGCAUUUUUAUAAUUUCAGUUUAAUUUUUUUAUUAAUUUUUUUUAUUUUUGUAUUUAUAUUGUUUUGGAAAAAAAAUAAUUUUUUUUUAUCCUCCCGCAAACGCCCGCAACCGCAAACGCUAGCUGGAACCAGCUUUUGAAUUUAUGAGGUUCAGAGCGAUUUGGAGCGGUUUAGAGCGGUUUGAGCGAUUGUUGCAAAACGCCAGUAACCGCUACCAACCGCAAAAGCUGCGUUUGCGGGUGGUAGCGGGAAAACCAGUCAUACCCUAAAACUCAACGAAUUCAUUUUUUCCUCCAAAAAUUAAAUACAUUCCGAAUUUUCCUAUGUCAACCAAAAUGCAUUCAACUUCUGAAUCGCAUUAAUUACUGAUUUGCUAUAUAUACAGCUGGGAGACUUUUAUUUCAUUUAACAUUUGCUUCAUAAUUGAAUUUAAAUAGAUAAAACAAAAAAAAAAGUAAAAGUAAAAAGUUACAAACAGUACAGUAAAGAAGAAGCAGUAUCAAAAAUCUCCCCCUUUCCAAGAAUCAGGGUUUUUCGAUCGAAUUCGCGGCAAGUAACCUCAUUUUCUCCCGACAACAGUGGUCUUCUUUCCAGAUAUGUCUCUCCGAGUUUCGAAGCAGUAAGCCCUUUUAUUUACUGUCACUCGAAUACUAAAGACCAGAUCUUUACUAGUCCUAGGAUGAUUGAGAGAUUGCAAGGUUUGGUAGAUUCAUUCUCUGUUAGAGUUUUUGUUUUGAUGAUUGAAAGUUUGAAACUUUUGGUGCUAUUUGAUUUCAGAGCUGUGCUAAGCUAAAGGACAAGAAACAAAAAUCUGAGUCAGCAUAAAACAGUCUCUUAGUUUAUGGAGUUAGAGGCGUUUGGUUAAGAUGGGUUCGCUCUGUUGUGUGGCUGCCAAAUCAGAUAAGUCAGAUUCUUCUGCAAGUAGGGACGUUUCUUUUGGCACUCAUGAGCCUUAUUGGAGGACUAAUACAAGCUUCUCCCCACCUUCAUCGAGAUGGGAUGUCCCUGGCUUAACCGAUGGUAUUAGCUUAUAUGGUUCUUCUUCUUCCACAUCAUCAAACGCUAAUCUUCUUCCUACUCCCAACCUUUCUCAGACUCUUCAUUGGAAUGAUUUUGAGUCUGCUACAAGAAGAGGUUCGUUUUUUGUUUCACUAAAACUCACAUUCUGUGUAUCUUUUUGUGUUUUAACAUUUUGCUUCUGAUUCAUCUCUGCAGAUCAGGCUCUUAAGCAACUACCGUCUUGUUCUGACAUUGGUGACUCUGAACCUAACCGCAACUUCUCAAACCGGCGAUUUUUCUUGUCUAAACCGGUUCAUCCUAUACAUUCUGGUAAUGCUAGAGAUGUGACAUCUGACUCUGCGGAUGCUUGCAGCUGGAGCAGCGGGAGAACAAGCAGCAUUGAUUCUAUGGAUGUUGUUCUUGAUUGGGAUAAUCAUAACUCUACCAAAUCACAACGAGCAGCUUCAAGUACAUUUGUGUGCGGUUUGUGUAACAGAUACAUAUCACAGAAACCUCCCUGUGGUUCACGGUCCAUCGUAAGAAACCGAGACAUGCCAGUCACAGGAGUGCUUCCGUGUCAACACGUCUUUCACGCUGAAUGUCUUGACCAGUCAACUCCAAAGGCUCACCGGAAUGAUCCACCUUGUCCAGUAUGCACCAAACAGGAAGGAGAGCAGGACAAGUCACACAACGUUGUGUUUAGGCUUAAACCAUUUUGUGAAGAUGGGCCAUCAUCUACAAGACAGUGGGCCUGUGCUCAAGUUGGUGACUGUGUUGAAAGUGCUGUUAAUGUGCCGCCUAGAAACACCAUGAUAAUGAUAAACAGGAACAGGAUGAGGAAAAGCCUCUCGUUGAGAGGAAGCUCGAGCAAAGAUUCUCCGAGAAAAGUCAAGAGAAGGGGCUCAUUUAUGGAAAAUUUUACUAAUCAAGUUUCGUUUGUGCAUUCUAGAGGGAAAGAGAAGGUUUAAUGGUAGCUGGCAAAAGAAGCAGAGAAAUCAAAAGGUUAAUUCUUUGACCUACUUAAGCUUUUAACCUUUUGACAAGUAUCAUCAUUAAAGGACUAAAGUAUUUCAUUUUGGAGACCUGUAAGCAAAUUUGUUUAGAGCUUUGAUUGUUUAUUUUUGUCUUGUAAUCAUCUACUUGCUGGCGCGUGGCGACCAUCUUAAUUAACCGGUUUAUCAUCCAAUCGAUAAGUUUAUUUAGUUCGGUUUAUCUGCACAGCUGAGUUAGAGUUCGACUGGUAUAGAGGCUGUGGUUUUCUUUUUUUUUUGCAUGCAUGUGUCUUUUGCGAGCCAAGAUGAUAGUUGGGGCCGUCAUUGCCGCAUUUUCCGACGAAUUGACCGGUAAGAUCACACACUCCUCCUCCCGCUUAUGGACCAGACCAGCAUCCAACUCUAUUGUUUUGUGUAUACAGACCAGCAAGAGAUUGUUAAAUUGUUGGGAAAUAAAUUUAGAUAAAUAACAGAUGAAGAUUAAAAUUACCUUUCAUACGGUGUAGAACGAGGAACAUCAAAACCAUAAACAAAGUAGCAGAUUUCAUGAAUAAAAAUGUUAUUUUAUGACUUGCAUAAAACUUAAUAAUUUUUUUUUAAUAUCGUAAAAAAUAUCUAUCUUUUGUCAACACUUUACUAUAAACAAGAUAGGAUAAAAAUAGCUGUUCAAAAUAAACUUUGAGAAUUGAAAAUAAAUGUGAAAAUGAAAGAUGGAGCCAAGUCAACUAGACCGACAAAAUAGUGAUUUAGAUCACUGUUAUGUUUAGGAAAGUAAAAGUACUGCUAGGUUAUUCCAACUAAGUAACUAACAGUACCACAACAAGGAUCUCAGUGUUCCCUAAAUCCAAAGGAAGGCUCAAGCUCAACAUCAUUAAUCCUAGAGAGAAUCCUUCAGUCAAAUUCAACUACUUGAAAAGCAAGGAAGACCUUCUUGACACAUGCAUAGAUCUAUGAAAAGCUUAUGACGCUUUUCCUAGGGUUAGAGACUCGGGAAAAAGCUUAUGGCCGCUGAUGAAAAGCUUCUGUAAAUUCAACGUAAGAAGUUGUUAUGGGGGCUGCGUUGUGGGAUCUGUCUUGGAUGAAGAUUAUAAAGUGAAUGGCGUGAAGCGGUUAAGAGCUGUGGAUAGCUCAACGUUUAAAGAAUCACAAGGAACAAAGCCUACAACAAGCUACGGUUUUAAUGUUGGGAAAAUAUCAAGGAAUCUUCUUAGUUCCCAAGAGAGCCCACAACCACUAGAACAUUCUUACAACUUACAGUAAGCAACCAACGUCUAAGCCUAUACAUCGAAUGCAAUCUCUGUUUUGUUUUGUUUCUUUGUCGCAAUGAAUCAAGUUUUUUAAAACGAAUCACACGCUUGGAUAUUCAAGUUCAUCAACCAAUCAUUUUAUUGAAAUUGGAAAGACAAAAAAAAAAAAAAAGAAUAUACACAAGUUUCUUUCUAAAACUGAAACCUAAGCCUCUGUUUCAUCUCGAAUGUUCGAGCCAACAUCGCUUCUUCCUCCUCCGUCUUCUUCUCCGUUUCUCCUUUCGCCGUUACCAACAGAGAACCCAAUCCAAACCCCUACUUUCUUCUCUUCCUCCACUUCUUCGACAGGCAUCUCGUACCUACACAGCGGACACGUGGCCUGUCUCCCCAGCCACUCCUCCACGCACUUCGAGUGGAACCUGUGCUUACACGGCAUCUCCGCCGCCACGUCACCUUCCGACCACUCGUCGAGGCAGAUCGGACACGAGCCUCUUUUCUCCUCAUCUUUCCCGAUCACGACACGUGGCAAGCUCUCCACCGACGAUUUCGACGCCGGCGACCUCCCUUGUUUCUCUGAAAAGUCGCCGUUCAAGAACUCCCCCAAAGCCGAUCUGUACAUCACCACUCUUCUGUUCACCUGAUCGAUGACGAUCUCUCUGUGUCCGGUCGUCUGAUCGGUAUCCUCGUCGGCUUCGCCGGCUAGAGCUAAGAUCAGAGGUAAGAAUCGAGAGUGACCUUCGCCUCGUGGGAUCAUCCUCUCGAACAAAGCCGAAAACUCUGCAAAGCCCGCCUCAGAAGACAUCACGUAAACACCUAAACAAAGAUCGUGAGAGUGAAACGAAGGAUCUUUCUCGAGAGAGGAAACUGAGAAGAAGGCGAGAAGGAGAAGGAAGCUGAAAGAAUUAGAUACAAAUCGGUGAAUAACGGCUUAGAGAUUUAUAUAUGUUAGCGAAAGGUUUUACCGUGUUCACGAGGAAGCUGGUAAAAAGGAAAUACACGAAGGUUACAGAAGAAUCUAGAAACCGCUUUUGUUCAAUCAAUCAGUGUUUAAAUAUUUAAUAUUUUUUUCGUUAUCCCAAAUCUUAUCCUCUUUCAUUACAGGGACACAAAACAAAGGCUGCAACUAGAUUUACUAUUUUUGUAAUGGAAUGAUCAAUUCCAUAAUUGUUUUUAUCAUUUAACAUGUCCAUCAAUUCCGAAAAAAAAUUUAACCAAAAAAACAUUCCAAAACAAUUUUGAUAAAGAAUAAAUGAAAUGAAUCCAUUCCAUUUUUGUACUGCAUUUCAUUCAUCUUAUUUCAUUUCUCUUUAUUCCUUGUAUUCUUUUUUUUAUCUACCAGUUACAGCCAAAGACUAGAUAUUUUUACUACCGCUCUCAUCUACGUUGUAAGUCUGGUCAAUAUAAAUUCGCUGGGAAUAUAAUUAAACUUACAGAAAUAAUUUUCCAUAUCACUAAAUCAUAUCUUAUGACAAAGGUAAUGUAUAAUUAAAAAAUAAUAACAUUUACUAAAAAAAUUUAUAUUUGGAUUUAGAGUUUUAAUUAUUUGUGUUUGUGGCUUUGUUAAUUUAAAAGUGAAAAUGUAAUAAAAUUAAAGUGACUUAGCUUUUUCUUAAAUCAAAUUAGUUUUUAUUUUGAAAAAAAUAAUAUAGUACCCCCUCCUCCGUUCUACUAAGAUAGAAGUUUUAGGAAAAAAAAAAUUGUUUCACAAAGAUAGAUUUUUUUAUGUUUUCUAUACAAAAAAUUUUAAAUUUUAAUAAAAUUAAUUGAAUUUAUUAGACUAUUGGUUAAAAACAUUAUAAUUUAAUAAUUUCAAAAAUGAUGCAUGAUUAAUGUGUUUUUUUAAUAUGUGUGAAAAUACCAGAACAUCCGUAUUUAAGAAACAUCCGUAUUUAAGAAACGGAUGUAGUAUUAGGUAUUUUUGGAUUAUUUUAAAAAGUGCUGUUUUAAAAUUUUGCCCUUAAAUUUCCCAAUAUUCCAUUUUCUAUAUGCAAAUCUGGAGGUUUUCAAGUAAAAUAUGCAAAUCCGGAGGUUUCCAAGUAAAAUAUGCAAAUCCGGAGGUUUUCCCUCGGAUUUGAGUCUUUGUAUUUUUAACUAAGAAAUCCAAACAAAUCCAUUCAAAUCCAUUAUAAAAUCAAAUAUAUUAGUAAAUCCGUAUGAUUGAAUAACACUUGAUUUGAUACAGAAUUUAUUAAUCAUUAAACCAAUAACACAUGAUUUUAAUACAGAUUUGAAAAUCAUAGAACCAAUAACACUAGAUUUAGUUCGGAUUUUCAAAUCCAUUAAAAUACAACAACCAAUAACCCCUACUUAAUAUACACUGAAGUUUCAUUAAAAAAAGUUUCAUAUCUCUGCAGAGCUGUUUGACUUUCGAUACUUCUCGAAUGGGUAUCUCACUAUCUUGCAUGGUUGCAUUGACUUUUAUCUCUUCACUUCAGUUCAGUGUCUUGGAACUCGUCUAAAACCUUGUGCCCUCUUUCCAAUUCGAAUAGUGAGUAAGUGGUAUCGUUCUUCUUACUCUAUUCUUCUUCCAUGUGAUCGUCCUUUGUGUUCCUUCACAAUUUUGGACCCUUUUCUCAGAUACGUCCUUUAAACCGUUUGGCACUGAAGCAAGAGGCAAUUCCCAAGUGGAGAGUCCGAAUGCCUGAAAUUGGAGGAGCAGGAAGAAGGUAACUGCCAAAAGGAUUAUAAUACCAAAACAUCCGGAUCAUCUCAUUAACUUUCAACACUUACAAGUUUAUAAAACUACCGAGACCGGUUCAGGAGGUAGCUCCUUUUUGUGGCGCCACUAAAACUUGUUCUGUAAUCUGAACUAGGGCUGAAGUUUCAUGAAACAUAUAUUGCUUUAGAAUAUAAUUCCGUAAUUUAUAGGAAUACCAUUAUUAUAUCAUAGCUCAUCCUAUCAAAUUUUAAGCAUGUAAAACAUUAGUCCAUUGUACUCUCCACAUGAAAUUUGGAGUCUGGAAAGAGAAGAUAAAUUAGAAAAGAAUACAACAAAUCACUCAAAUAUAGUCAUAACUGAAACUUAGCAAAGUGGAGUCGAGCAUGACAUCUUUCUCUAGGUAAAACUGGACAUUCAAUAAACUCAGUUCCUGAUGUAUGAUGCAAAGGCAGAUCUGGUGAACUUGAUUGUUAAGCUCCGGAUCUUUGUUACAUUCGAUGCCUGGAGUAAACCCAAUGGCAUCUUUAAUCUCUCGAAGAUCAUAUAAUCCGUCGUCUGGUAUGAUUCCUAUAGUUACACCACAUUCAGAAAAGAAGGAAAAAUAUAUGUAGAGUUUAAUUAAGCAUACGUAAAUUAAUACAUUGAUUAGAUAUAGUGACUUUUAGAUUAAAUAUUAGUGUGUAUAUGUAUACCAGAGUUUGCGAGGAUGUGAACAAGAUUGGCCUUAUCUCUAAGUUAAAGAGUAUUCUCAAAGUAGUCAUGUAGAUCCAUUGUGGACUCGGAACACGUGCCGUGUUUUUCCACUCGUGUUUCCAAAACUUGAAACCAUCGUUGCUCGGACACGAUAGUGUUAGCCACUUCGUUUGCAAACUAACAAUAUCCGAUAUCUAUACAUUCAAAUAUGAAUUUGAUAUAUACAAAAACAAAAUAAACUGAAAGAAAAAAAGGAAUAUUUACACAAUCACAUAGUAUUAUUACUAUUACAUGUACCUUAGAUCGAUCAAAUUCACUGUCGGGAUUGCAGUUUGAUGGAUGCGAACCAUCAUUGUAAUUAGGCCAAAGAUCUUGAAUACCAAAAUCUGCCGCAGGUUUGCAACUAGGCUUUGUACGCAAAUGUUUUCAAAACAAAUUAAUUUUGGCUGUUUAUUUCUGACUUAUAUUAACAUCAAAAUUAGAAUUUCAUGGGGUACAUAUUUGUAAAAAACAAUGAUGAACUUGAGAUAAAGCAGAGUAUACGUAUCUGAUGAAGAAGAGCUAAGUAGAAGAAAUCAAAGUCUGCAGCUUGAGGAGGUAACAUGAAAACAUUAGAAACCUGAGGGUAAACCAACUUUAUACUCCCAUUUUAUGUACUCUUCAUUUUUGUAAUGCACACAUGAAACAUUUUGGCAUCAAAUUUAUAAAGACAAAUAGCUUCUCCUUAAUACAUUUUCAUUAAUUAGGUGUUAAAAUUCUCGCACGACGUUCUCUCUUUAAUCAUCUUAUUAUUUUUGAAAAAGAAUGCAAAAAUAUUUAGGUUUGUAACAUACUAUAUCUAGCUCUUGGUAUAAAUUAGGAACGAGCUAUUUAAAACUAACAUGUAUCCCUUUCAUUAUGCAUGCAAUUGCUGCUAUUUAUAUAUUUAACAAUGUGUACAAUAUUAUAACAAAAUUCAUUUCUAAUAUGCUACUUAAUGAAAUCUUUUGAGAAGGAACAAUAAUCAAGUACAUGCGAACCAAGUUCAAACAAUUCACAGGUAUAUAUAUCUAGCUACUAAUGUACUCCCUCCGUUUCAUUUUACUUGUUGUUCUAGACUUUGACACACAGAUUAAUAAAAUAUUUAAAUUUAUCUAUUUACUAUAUAAAAACAUCAUUAUCAAUAUACCUAACCAGAUUUCAACCAAUAGAAAAAUAGAUUAGAAUAAAAAAUCAAUAAAUUUUGCAUUGAAAUCAUAAAACGACACUAAUUUUAAAACGAAAAUUUUGCUCUAAAACGAAAUCUAAUUCGAAAUGUAGGAGUACAUACUAACAUUUAAUAAUUCGCUAAUGAAUGCUUUGUAAGAAAGGGUCAAAGACUCAAAAGUAUUGAUCAUAAUUAAUUAGUAACUGAGGAUCUGGCCACGAUCAGCGUUAAACAUGUCAUACAACUACUUUUGUCUUAUGCCUUCGAGUUAGGAAUAGUAUAUAUUAAAACCCUUAAAGAAAAGAAAGCAACAUGCCGAACAUAUAAAGUUCAUCAAAAUGCACGAGGAAUUAUAAUGAGAUCAAACCACUACCAACCCACUUCCAGUUGAUAAGUGUUUACCGAUGAUUCCGGUCAUUGUUUUUUAGUGUAGUAAAUGAUAGUGGUACUUGUCCAUGUUGGAAGUCGAUCCAAUUGAAGAGUAAACAAUAGUAUUAAACUUAAAAUAUUUCUUAGGGAUAUUUCUAAUAUGCUUAAAUAAUCAUAAAAUUUGGAAAGAUAUAUAUUGAAUGUAAAUCUUUAGUAUAUUGAAUUUAGAUCUUUAGUCAAAAAAUAAUAUAUAUAUAUAUAUAUUGAGCGUCACAAACUUACAUGAACGAUGUAAGUUUAUCGACGGUCAUAUUGAUUCGAAGGUCGUGAACGAUAUACUUGGUAGUCUAGAAAAUUUUGAGUAAACUAGCGGAACAGGUGGUUGAUGCGAAACUAGUUUGUAAACAUGUGGUCUAAAUUAUUUUGGUUGAAUCUGGUUUGUAUGUCGACAUUGGAUGUCCGUUUCGGGUUUGAUUUAUAUAUAUAAAUAUUUCUCGAAAAAAAAGAAACUUACACCAUGUGAAACAACUUCGAAAUCACAUAUCUAGUUGGUUAAAAAAUGAAACUGUUAUUUUAGUAAAACUUCACAUUGUCUACUUAAAAGUGAACCAUACAUUUAUCUUGCAUGACUCAUGAGGGAGGGAAAAUAUAUUGGAUACUGGAAGGUUUUGGUGAAAAACAUUUUAUAAAUAUACUGAACGUGCUCAUCCUAUAUGGCUUUACUCCAAUUUGAAGAUCUUCAACUAAUCUAUUCUAUGAUUCUUUGUCUCUUACGUCUCCUACUUAUUGAUUGUGAUUAAAGUGUUGGGAUGAUUUUGUUCCUCAAACAUGUAGUUUUCAACGCUUCUGUCUGUUUCUAUAUUUUAAUGAAAGAGAGAGUGUGUGAUGUUUUCUCUAAUUUCCAAUGUGUGAGGAAAUUGAAUCCUUCUUGAUUAAGUUAUGUUUCAGAACUUGAUAUUAACAAGUAUGUUAUCCUUUCAUUAAGCUUUCUCCUUGUUAGGGAGACAGACUCAAAUACAUUUAAGACAACAAUUUAAAACAUGACGACACAUAAUCAUCUUUCAUAAAAAAAUCUACUUCUUGGAAUAAAACUUUUAUAUCUAUAAUUUAUGUUCUUUGAAUAAUUUUCAUAUUUGGGGUGAAAAUAUUUAUUUGUAUAUAAUUUUGUUUAGUGGUUUUUAAUUAAUUGUAAAUCUUAAAUUAAGAAAGUCAAAUCUUAUUCUAGUUCUAAGUAAGAAAAAAGCUGAUUGGGUGAUAAAAAAGGUGUAAUGAUUUUCUAAAGGCUCACCGCUCACCUAAUCCCAAAGUGUAAAUUUUCAUUAAAAAAAGGCGCCCCACUGACCAAUUUUUCUUCUCUCCAGUUCGAAAACGGAGACGAAGGGCAUCGGCGGCGAUCUUCGACGGCCCUAUCGAUCUCCGAUUGCCAAACUCGAAUCCACAAUAAUAAUUAAAAAAAAAUCUUCGAAAAUCCACAGGAAACUAACAAAAAAUCGCUAUCGUGUGUGUUUCUUCCAAACUUCUUGGAUCUUUCGUCAAUCAUCACGUCCAGAUCUCAUGAUUCAUCGUCCGAUCUCGUGGCGGUUCCGUAAACCUUGAUGCAACGAUCUCAUGCUCGUUCCAGGUUGAAACACAAAUCCGAUAUGGAUCCUCUCCACCUUCAUACUCAACCUGGCCAACGAUCAUCGCUCGCCAAACCCAAGUGUAAACCGAAGAAAUCGAUUAUCCUCAUAAUCGUCGGUUCCGCCGCCAUCGCUUUAAUUAUAUCCUUCGUUUGCUAUACAUUUCUACUCUCCGGGAGGAAUCGGAGAGUUUCGCUCCGUUACAGCGUCGUCAUCGACGGCGGGAGCUCGGGGACCCGAGUUCACGUGUUCGGGUACCGGAUUGAAUCCGGAAACCCGGUUUUCGAUUUCAGCGGAGAUGACGGCUACGCUAGUAUGAAGCUGAGUCCUGGUUUGUCUUCUUACGCUGAUGAUCCGGAGGGAGCGAGCGUUUCAGUGGCGGAGCUUGUGGAGUUCGCGAAAGGGAGAGUUCCGAAGAGAGUGUUGAAGGAGAGUGAGAUUAGGUUGAUGGCCACCGCUGGGAUGAGAUUGCUUGAUGUUAGUGUUCAGGAACGGAUUCUUCAAGUUACUAGAAGAGUUCUUAGAUCUUCUGGGUUUAAGUUCCGAGACGAUUCCGCCUUGGUUAUCUCCGGUUAGUGUUUUGAUGCUUAAGAUUUAAAAAUAAAAAAAGUGUUGAACCUAAGUAUUGUAAAUAGUUCCUCCCAAGCACUAAUCCCGGUGGUGAAAGUUACACCUGCAACCCCUUUACCAUCAGAGCUGACUCGUUCUGGUUUUGAUGCUUAAGAUUAGAGCUAGAUUGAUCAGUGUCAUUGACAAUGCUGCACUGUUCGAGUGUUUGGUUGACAUGUUGUUGUUAUUAGUAUUGGACUUGUUUGAAUAAGUGCUAAUACUGGGACUUUUUUUUUUUGUAGGAUCUGAUGAAGGUGUAUAUGCUUGGGUUGUUGCGAACUAUGCACUUGGUUCUCUAGGAGGUGAUCCGUUGCAAACAACGGGGAUUGUUGAACUUGGUGGGGCUUCUACUCAGGUUUUAGUCUCCUUCCCUUCAGAUUUGUUAGACUUAAAAUAUAGAACAACUGUGUUGUAAGAUAGUUGAUUGUAAGGGAUGAUGACUGUUUUGUGCAAUCGUUUAGGUGACAUUUGUGUCAAGUGAGCAUGUGCCUUCUGAGUUCUUGCGUACGAUAACUUAUGGUAACGUUUCAUACAGAAUCUACAGCCACAGCUUCCUCAACCUUGGGCAGGUAACUUCUAAGAGCAGAGCGUUUGUCUUUUGAGCACUUUACAUCCUUUUUAGAGUUUUGUGUUUGGGAACAGUAUGUAACUGUGUUCCUAUUUGUUGCUUGUUGAUCUAAGAGUAUACAUUUCCUCAAAUUGUAGAACAUGCAACAUUAACAAAUGUUUUUAUCCCUUUUGAAUGUUGACGAUACUAAUAACUUGUUUUGCCUUGUAGGAUGCAGCACAUGAGAAACUAUGGGAAUCACUCAACAACUUAGGUUGGUUAUUGAUAACUUUGUCAAGUAAUCACUGCUUCACUGCACUUGAAAAUUUUGUAGAGUUAAUAAUUGCAGCUUUGAGUUUAGGCAAAUUGAAAUAAAUAUCUUUCCCCUCAAAGUUCAUACAGUGUUUGAAUCCUUGCAGCUGCAAACUCUACAGGGGAAGGAAUAGUUACUGAUCCUUGUACUCCAAAAGGAUACAUCCCCGACAAAAACUCCACAGGGGAAGGAGUAGUCUUACCUGGAGAAAGCAAAUUUACAGACUCACUUCAAGCUGCUGGUAAUUUCUCAAAGUGCCGAUCAGCUGCAUUCAACAUCUUACAGGAAGGAAAAGGUAAAGAGCGUUAUUGGCACAGCUGAAUAUCAUUCCUCGUGUCAGUUUUCUUUAUAUCUAACGAGUUUACUUUUGAGUACAGAGAAAUGUCAUUAUAAGCAUUGCUCUAUUGGAUCAACGUUCACACCUAAUCUUCGAGGAAGUUUUUUGGCUACCGAGAAUUUCUUCCACACCUCAAAGGUAUACAAUUUGAACGUCAAUAUUCUAUCUGUGUUUGUGGAGAUUUGUUUAACGUUGGUAGUAUGUUUCUUGACUGGAUCAGUUUUUUGCGUUGAGAGAAAAAGAUUGGCUAUCUGCAAUGAUUUCAGCCGGAGAGAGUUUUUGUGGAGAUGAUUGGUCGAAGUUGAAAGUGAAACAUCCAACAUUCAAAGACGAGAGUUUGCUUCGGUAUUGUUUCUCAUCAGCAUAUAUUGUCUCAAUGCUUCACGACAGUCUUGGUGUUGCUCUUGAUGAUCAAAGGUAAAAAAACUUACUGCACAAUCUUUUUGGCUUUGGGGUUCGUUAAAUAAACUAUGUUAUGUUUUUUUUUUGUCUGCAGAGUCGAGUUUGCAAGUGAAGCAGGAGAGAAAGGCAUACCACUAGAUUGGGCAUUAGGAGCGUUUAUACUAAACACUGCAACAGCCAUUUCUGAUAACAGUGGUAAAUCUAGAAAAAUUCUUCUUAAGUAGAGAUAUUAGUUACAAUGAAAAAGUAUUGUUGGCGUCUAGAUCACUUCUGUGGAGCGAGGAUACCUCUGUAUAAUAAAAAAAAAGAAGUAUUGUUUCAAAAGUAAAUGAUAAUCAUAUAUUUGUAUUCACGUUUACUCGUGUUUAACAUUACAAGUCUUCAUUGUUCUCUUUUUAAGUUAGGUACAUAUUAAAAUAUUGGAAACCAAGUUGAUUCAGAGUGGGGGUUUUUUUCAAUGUAUUGUAUGAAUUUUCAACAUUUUUCACAUAAAUGACAACUCAUUUCCUUUCAAGGUAGAUCCCACUAAAAACACAUCUGUGGACAGAUUCACAAUUAAACACAUCAAGAAAAAUGGUGAAUCAGUACUCUGCAGAUAAGUGUCUACAAAUAAUCUUGAUGUGUUAUUGUAAUCAAUGAAACGUGAUAACUAAUAUCGUCCAUUCAUGCCCUAUCUUGUAAGUUGUAAUAGAUAUUUCCUCUGUAACAGAGUUUGUCCAUUGGUAUCUCAUUCCGUAAAUAAAGCCAAACUGGAAAUAAGUCAUUUGUUCAUUAGAAAUAGAUCUGGCCCACGUGUGAAUAAGACGUAUGUGGUUCGGUGUUUAAUCACGUGUUUUAAUGUUACGAGAGUUUUUAAAUAGUAGCUCCAGUGACCAACUUCUUCUCCACUACGACAAAAAAAAACUGUAGACUGAGAGUAGCUACGAGACGAGCUUCAUCGGCGGCUGUCUUCAAACAGCCGUUUUCGAACUCCGGUUUGGAACUCCGGUUUCUCAUCAAUUAUAAUUAACUCAGGUUAUAAACCUAACUCGAAGAAAAGUAAUAUUCACAAAAGAACUUAUUGCGUUACGUUUUUUUCAUACGCUAAGAUCUCAUUAUCAUCUCAUCAGUUUUCGUUACGACUACUUUAAACGUUUUCACAAAACAAUCUCAUUACCGUUUUCAGGUUCGAAAACAAAAAAAUGAAACCGGAGAUUGAGGAGGAUACUCUCAAGGUUCAGAUGAUACCUGUCCACCGCAAAUCUUCGACGACCUACGUUUUCACCACUAAGUCCGAGUCAAAGCCCACGAAACCGAUUCUCCUGCUAGUCCUCGGCCUCUUCCUUUCCAUCGCCAUCACGCUGGCGUUUCUAUUUGUUCUCUACAUGAUUCUCUUAUCCGGAUGGAAUCUGAGAAGCUCGUUCCGUUACAGCGUAGUCUUCGACGCCGGGAGCUCCGGGUCACGAGCUCAUGUGUUCCGGUACUGGCUCGAAUCCGGUAAACCGGUUUUCGACUUCGGUGAGGAGAACUACGCUAGCUUGAAGCUGAGUCCUGGUUUGUCUUCGUACGCUGAUAACCCGCAAGGAGCGAGCGUCUCCGUGGCGGAGCUUGUGGAGUUCGCGAAAGGGAGAGUUCCUAAAGAGAUGUUGAAGAAGAGUGAGAUUAGGUUGAUGGCUACGGCUGGGAUGAGAUUGCUUGAUGUUAGUGUUCAGGAAGAGAUUCUUGAAGUUACGAGAGGUGUUCUUAGAUCUUCUGGGUUUAAGUUUCAAGACGAAUGGGCUUCGGUUAUCUCCGGUUAGUAUUUGGAAUAUAGGAGAGUGUAACUGUUUUGUUGUUAGAUUAUUUGGAUCUAUGUUUUGAGUUUUUUUUAUAUAUUAGCUUAGUUAAUCGAUAAAUAUUGGAAAAGUUAUGCAGGAUUUGAUGAAGGGAUGUAUGCUUGGGUGGUUGCGAACUAUGCACUUGGUUCUCUUGGAGGAGACCCGUUACAUACAACGGGGAUUGUUGAACUCGGUGGGGCUUCUGCUCAGGUUUGGUCUCCUUUCUCUCAAAUUUGGUACUAAUGAGUCUUCAGCCAUAUGUGUGGUCGUUGAUAAUUGUUUGUGCAUUUGUUUAGGUGACAUUUGUGUCAAGUGAGACUGCACCUCCUGGGUUCUCUCGUACGAUAUCCUAUGGAGGUGUUUCUUACAAAAUCUACAGUCACAGCUUCCUCCACUAUGGACAGGUAGCUUCUGAAUUCUGAGAGCCGAGAAUAUCAGAACUUGUUGAUAAGGCCUACCUUUAAGCAAAGCUGGUUCUGGAUAAAACCGAAUAAAAAAUUAACUUUAGGGUUUAGGCUCCAAAAAAUUUUGAAAAAAAUUACAUAGACAUAUAUCCAAAAAAAAAAAUUAGAUUCCUAAAUGUAUUUUUUAAAUGUAGUUGAAAUAUUUAAUAAGUCGCCUACAAGAAAAAAUAUUUGUAUCCUUUGCUUAUUAAUUUUCAAGAAGUUACUACGUUUUGUUGCCUUUUCAGGAUGAAGCACAGGAAGAGAUAUUGAAAUCACUCCAGAACUCUGGUUAGUUGUUGAUAAAACCAUUAAAAGUGAUCAGUUGUGUACAUAACUUGAAGAUUUUGUUAAGUAAGCUUCUUUCCCCUCAAAACUCAUACAUUGUUUCAAUAUAUAAUCCUUUGCAGCUGCAAACAAAGAUGGAAUAGUUACUGAUCCUUGUACUCCUAAAGGAUACGUUUACGACAACAACUCAGUUCUAGCUGCUGGUAAUUACUCAGCAUGCCGAUCGGUUACAUUGGCAAAGUUGCAAGACGGAAAGGGUAAGAGCAUUAUAUAUAUAGCUACAUAUUGCCGCUCGGUGUCAACUGUCUCCUUCAUCUCUUAUGGAUUCACCUUUGGUGUGUUUUUUUUUGUUGUGUACAGAGAAUUGUGCUUUUGAGCAAUGUUCUAUUGGUUCAACAUUCACACCUGAUCUUCAAGGAAAGUUUUUAGCUACAGAAAAUUUCUACCACACCUCCAAGGUAAUGAUAUUAUCCCCUAAAUUCAUAUUGGUCCACCUAAAAAUUUGUGGAGAAUAUAUUUGAACAUAAAGACAUUAUGCUUCUGUCUGAAACAGUUCUUUGGGUUGGACGAGAAGGAUUGGCUGUCUGAAAUGAUUAAAGCUGGAAAGAGUUUCUGUGGAGAAGAAUGGUCGAAGUUGAAAGAGAAAUACCCAACAACUAAAGAAAAAUAUUUGGAUGGAUAUUGCUUCUCAUCUGCAUAUAUCAUCUCAAUGCUUCACGACAGCCUUGGUUUUGCUCUUGAUGAUGAAAGGUACUAUAUGUUACUGCACAAACCAAGAACAGUUAGAUCAUUCUGGUUUUGAUCAUCAAAAACUAUGUUUGUUUUGUGUGCAGAAUUGAGUUUGCAAAUAAAGCAGGAGAAAAAGGAAUUGCACUAGAUUGGGCACUGGGAGCGUUUAUACUAAACACUGACACAACCAUUUCUGCUUACAAUGGUAGAUCUAGAAAAAUGCUUGGCUGAAGUUACGUAUAUCCAAAUACAUAAUACUAUGUAUGAUAUUUUCAUUUGUUCCAAUAAAACAUGUAAGUUAUGUCAUGUAUUUUACGUUAAGCUGUUUGUUGUUGUUUCUUUUUGUGAAAUAAGUUUAGCUACUCCUUAUAAUUGUGUUUGGGAUUUUCAAAGCUUUUACGUUAAGAGCGUCUGUUUUCAUUCAGCAUCCUUGUGGACCGUGUCAGAUUACAAUAUGUAGAAAUAGGAGACGUGACCAUGUCUUUCCCUUAUUGAAUCUUUUGUUGAAAAUUAAACUUGAUUUGGAUCAGAUUUUUGGCUAAUAAUUUACUAAUCAUUUUAGUCCAAACUUAGUCCAAUAUCUAGAAUCAUCCUCCACCUCUUUAGAAUAAAAAUCUAGAUAUUCUCAUAGAAUUAUCUAGAUAAUUAUAAUAAAAAAAUCUUAGAUAUUAUGGUAGAAUUCUCUAGAUUUAUGAUUAAAAUAUGUAAGAUAUUUUGUAUUUUGGAGGCUAUAAAUACCUCCACUCCCCUUUCAUUUUGCAUCACCAAGAAAUAAACAAAGCUUGUAACAAGUAAUAAAAUCCUCUUCUAAGUUAUAUAAUCUUUCUUCUUCACAAAACUUCUUUCUCUUCAAACACUUAAACACUUUCUCCAUCUUUAUAAAGUUUUUCAUUCCAACAAAGUGGUAUCAGAGCUACAAGUUCCUUUUGAAGAUGGCAAACAAUGGUGUUCCCUUCCAAGUUCCAUUGCUCACUAAGAGCAACUAUGACAAUUGGAGUCUUAGGAUGAUGGCUAUCCUAGGAGCACAUGAUGUGUGGGAGAUAGUCGAGAAAGGCUUCAAUGAACCGGAGAAUGAUGGUGGUCUAUCUCAAACACAAAAGGAUGGUUUGAGAGAUUCAAGGAAGAGAGACAAGAAGGCUCUCUGUCUAAUCUAUCAAGGAUUAGAUGAAGAUACAUUUGAGAAGGUUGCUGGAGCAAAGACAUCCAAAGAAGCAUGGGAGAAGCUUCAGACAUCUUACAAGGGAGCGGAACAAGUUAAGAAGGUACGUCUUCAAACUCUAAGAGGAGAAUUUGAAGCAUUACAAAUGAAGGAAGGAGAACUCAUCUCAGAUUACUUCUCAAGAGUCUUGACGGUUACUAAUAACCUAAAAAGAAAUGGUGAGAAGUUAGAUGAUGUAAGAAUCAUGGAGAAAGUUCUUAGAUCAUUGGAUUCGAAAUUCGAACACAUUGUUACCGUGAUUGAAGAGACAAAAGACUUGGAGACUAUGACAAUGGAGCAACUUCUUGGAUCACUACAAGCUUAUGAAGAAAAGAAGAAGAAGAAAGAAGAUAUUGUGGAGCAAGUUCUCAAGAUGAGAAUUGAUCACAAGGAAGAAAGUGGCCGAAGCAAUCUAAGACGUGGUGGCGGUCAUUUCCGAGGACGAGGUUGUGGUGUAAAUGGACGAGGUUGGAGACCAUAUGAAGACAACUUCAACCAAAGAGGAGAGAAUUCAUCAAGAGAUCGUGGAAGAGGAAACCCAAAAUCAAGGUACGAUAAAUCAAGCAUCAAAUGCUAUAGUUGUGGAAAAUUUGGACAUUAUGCUUCUGAGUGCAAAACUCCAAACAACAAUAGAGUUGAAGAGAAGUCCAACUAUGUUGAAGAAAGGAGUAAAGAAGAAGAUAUGCUAUUGAUGGCUUACAAGAAGGAUGAACCAAAUGAGGUUCACAAGUGGUACCUUGAUAGUGGUGCAAGCAACCACAUGUGUGGGAAUAAAAGCAUGUUUGUGGAGCUCGAUGAAUCGGUGAAAACCAAUGUGGCUUUGGGAGAUGAAUCGAGGAUGGAAGUGAAAGGUAAAGGAAAUAUUUUCAUCCGCUUGAAGAAUGGAGAUCAUCAAUUCAUUUCCAACGUUUACUACAUUCCAAGCAUGAAGACCAACAUCUUGAGCCUAGGACAACUCUUAGAGAAAGGUUAUGACAUUCGACUAAAAGAUAAUAGCCUUUCUUUAAGAGAUAAUGCAAAUAAUCUCAUCACAAAGGUGCCAAUGUCAAGCAAUAGAAUGUUUGUCCUAAACAUUCAAAAUGACAUUGCACGAUGUCUCAAGAUGUGCUACAAGGAGGAAUCUUGGCUUUGGCAUCUUCGAUUUGGGCAUCUCAACUUUGGAGGCUUAGAGCUACUUUCCAAGAAAGAAAUGGUGAAAGGAUUACCUUGCAUCAAUCAUCCAAAUCAAGUGUGUGAAGGUUGCUUACUUGGAAAGCAAUUCAAGAUGAGUUUUCCAAAGGAGUCGGAGACAAGAGCAAGAAAGCCACUAGAACUCAUACAUACAGAUGUAUGUGGCCCAAUCAAACCAAGUUCACUUGGUAAGAGUAACUACUUCCUUCUCUUUAUUGAUGACUUUUCAAGAAAAACAUGGGUUUACUUUUUGAAACAAAAAUCAGAAGUGUUUGAAAAUUUCAAAAAGUUCAAAGCCCAUGUUGAGAAGGAAAGUGGUCUUAAGAUCAAGUCCAUGAGAUCAGAUCGAGGAGGAGAAUUCAUGUCCAAGGAGUUUCUGAAGUAUUGUGAAGAUAAUGGCAUUCGAAGACAGUUGACGGUGCCAAGAACCCCUCAACAAAAUGGAGUAGCGGAAAGAAAGAAUAGGACAAUACUUGAGAUGGCAAGAAGCAUGCUCAAGAGUAAGAAGCUACCAAAGGAGUUGUGGGCAGAAGCAGUUGCUUGUGCGGUUUAUAUAUCAAACCGUUCUCCAACAAAGAGUGUUUUAGAAAAGACACCACAAGAAGCUUGGAGCGGAAGGAAGCCUGGAGUCUCACACCUAAGAGUCUUUGGAAGCAUUGCUCACGCUCAUGUUCCAGACGAGAAGCGGAGCAAACUAGAUGAUAAAAGUGAGAAGUACAUCUUCAUUGGGUAUGACGCUAACUCCAAAGGCUACAAGCUCUACAAUCCUGAAACAAAGAAGACAAUCAUUAGUCGGAAUGUCAUCUUUGAUGAAGAAGGAGAAUGGGAUUGGAGAUCAAAUAAUGAAGACUACAACUUCUUUCCAUCCUUUGAAGAAGAGAAUGUGGAGCAACCGAGAGAAGAGCCAGCUACACCACCAACUUCACCAACAACAAGUUCUCAAGGAGAUGAAAGCUCAAGUGAAAGGACUCCACGUUUUAGAAGUCUACAAGACAUCUACGAGGUAACCGAAAAUCAAGACAAUCUUACUCUAUUUUGUCUAUUUGCGGAUUGCGAGCCUAUGAACUUUGAAGAAGCCCAAGAAAAGAAGUCAUGGAGAAGUGCAAUGGAUGAGGAAAUCAAGUCGAUUCAAAAGAAUGAUACAUGGGAGUUAGCUUCACUUCCAAAUGGACACAAGGCAAUUGGUGUGAAGUGGGUGUACAAGGCAAAGAAGAACUCUAAAGGAGAAGUUGAAAGGUACAAGGCAAGAUUGGUGGCAAAAGGCUAUAGUCAAAGAGCCGGGAUCGACUAUGAUGAGGUAUUUGCUCCAGUUGCUCGCUUAGAAACGGUUAGACUAAUCAUUUCAUUGGCAGCCCAAAAGAGUUGGAGGAUACAUCAAAUGGAUGUCAAAUCAGCCUUCUUAAAUGGAGACCUUGAGGAAGAAGUCUACAUUGAGCAACCACAAGGCUACAUAGUUGAAGGAGAAGAAGACAAAGUCUUAAGGCUGAAGAAGGCGCUUUAUGGAUUAAAGCAAGCACCAAGAGCAUGGAACACUCGGAUUGAUAAGUACUUCAAGGAGAAAGGCUUCAUCAAGUGUCCAUAUGAGCAUGCACUUUAUAUCAAAACUCAAAACAAUGAUAUAUUGAUUGCAUGCUUAUAUGUUGAUGACUUGAUAUUCACUGGCAACAAUCCGAUUAUGUUUGAAGAUUUCAAGAUGGAGAUGACAAAGGAGUUCGAGAUGACCGACAUUGGAUUGAUGUCAUACUACCUUGGCAUUGAAGUAAAGCAAGAAGAAAAUGGAAUCUUCAUUACUCAAGAAGGCUAUGCUAAAGAGGUGCUUAAGAAGUUCAAGAUGGAUGACUCAAAUCCAGUUUGCACGCCAAUGGAAUGUGGAGUCAAGUUAUCAAAGGAAGAAGAAGGAGAGAGUGUGGAUCCAACACUCUUUAAGAGUUUGGUUGGAAGCUUACGAUAUCUAACGUGCACAAGGCCCGACAUCCUACACGCAGUUGGAGUUGUGAGUCGAUACAUGGAGCAUCCAACAACUCAAGAUGAGGAGUUUGCUAGGAGUAACCAAAUCAAGUUUAAGAGGGGGUGUUGAAAGUUAAACUUGAUUUGGAUCACAUUUUGGGCUAAUAAUUUACUAAUCAUUUUAGUCCAAACUUAGUCCAAUAUCUAGAAUCAUCUUCCACCUCCUUAGAAUAAAAAUCUAGAUAUUCUCAUAGAAUUAUCUAGAUAAUUAUAAUAAAAAAAUCUUAGAUAUUAUGGUAGAAUUCUCUAGAUUUAUGAUUAAAAUAUGUAAGAUAUUUUGUAUUUUGGAGGCUAUAAAUACCUCAACUCCCCUUUCAUUUUGCAUCACCAAGAAAUAAACAAAGCUUGUAACAAGUAAUAAAAUCUUCUUCUAAGUUAUAUAAUCUUUCUUCUUCACAAAACUUCUUUCUCUUCAAACACUUAAACACUUUCUCCAUCUUUAUAAAGUUUUUCAUUCCAACAUCUUUCCUGAUUGAAGACUUGACUAUUUCUAUAACAAAACAUUCAAUAAUUUUCAAAACAUGCAAGUAGGACUAUACAAUAAAUAUACUCGACAAGUUUGUAGCUGAACAUUUACAGCCACGGACGUUAAUAUGUUUAAAAAAAGAAAGAUGCGAGUUCUAUAAUAUUCUUCAAACCAAGUGUUACUUAGUAAAACAAAAAAUGUUUUACUUAUUUAAAUGAAUCAUAUAUACUUAUUCUUGGUACUUGAGUUGAACUUGUAUCUUGCCUUUAACCUUAUCCAUUCUAAUAAGCUAUCAUUUAAAAAUGUUUACUAGACUACCGAAACAACAUAUUAUUAUUCUACUCAAAUAAUACUCAACAUGUAUACUUUUAAAUAAAAAGAAAAAAAAAGAUUCUUUCAAAAAAAAAGAAAGAUGAACACAAUGUAAGAAAUAGCUAAUCAAACAAAAGUUCUAAAUUAUAUUUUAAAAUGGCAUUUUGUUCAAGCAUAAUAAAAUCGAAAAGCCAUAAAAUGAUGACAGUGAAAGGUUUUGUUAUGAACUCAGCUUCGGAUUAACAUAAGAAAAUUAUUAUAUGAUGUAUACUUCGAGUUAUCUGACUGAGUUUUUUUUUUUUUUAACUUUGAAUAAAACAACUUGUAUGUGUAUGUAUGUUUGUUGUCCAAAAAAAAGUAUGUGUAUGUAUGUUCUUGUAUAUUCUCUAUACCCUACCUAAAUUGUAAUCCACGCUGUUAAUGAUUCAUUAAACAAAAACUAAGGUCUAUGAGCCGUUAAAACUAUAGUCAACGGCUGUAUAGCUAACGGAGCCGUUCAGACAUCGUGAUCUCUCUUUCUCUCCUUCUCCUUGUCUUGCUAUAAAAAAAAAGGUGUUCUCCAUUUGCUUAUUUCACGGGAAAAAUCUUUUUAAAAAACAUUCUAUCUUCCCCACAAGUUCUUGGCGUCUCUGCUAACUUUCCUCCCGAUUGUUCUGCUCUUAAAUCAAGGACGAGAUAGCUAACCCUUCACGCUAUAAACACACCUCUUCCCCCGAUUUUUGUCCAGUUGUUUUUUGGAAAAAAAAAAAACUGAGAUAUGAGUGAACACAUGGUGGUAUAUGUCGAUCGACUGAGGCGGCCAGUUCUCGCGGGGCCGUCUAGCCUCACGGCGAAGGAGGAUAAUGCAGUUUAUGUCUACGAUGGAGAUACUUUUGCUACGGAGAUGUGGUCGGCAGAGUGUCGUAUUUGUCAGGAGGAAUCCGCUAUUAUGAAUCUCGAGAGCCCGUGUGCUUGCAAUGGCAGCCUCAAGGUACUUUUUCCUCUUUCUCAUUGUUUAUGCUCUUACUAUACGAAACUAUGAUUAUCUAUGAAAGAGCUAAAAAGAAAUGUCUGUUUUUUGGACAGUAUGCUCACAGAAAAUGUGUUCAACGUUGGUGCAAUGAAAAGGGAAACACUAUAUGCGAGAUUUGUCAUCAGGUAUGUAUGUUUACGCUUUUCUCCUCCUCUGUUUUUAUAUUUGAGGAGUAGUGUGAGACCUGAUGAAUCUAUACCAGAAAAUGAACCUUAGGUACAUUAGAUAGGACAUCGCAGAUAUAUUCAGAUUACAACUAUUUUUCUUGAGUUUUUUUUUUUAACCUGAAUUCAACUCAAAAUUAAGGCAUUAACUGGAAAGAUACUAUGUAAAGUUUAAAAUCUAACGCCCUUUUAACUUUGUAUUAUCCAGUCAUACCAAGCUGGAUAUACCUCUCCUCCACCUCCACUCCGGUCUGAAGAAACUACUAUUGACAUUGGGUAAUGAUCAGUUUCAUAACACUAUUGUAUAUGUCUUAUAAUUGGUCUGACUUCAUAAUGUGUUUGUUUGUAGUGGAGGAUGGACAAUCUCAGGUUUGGAUUUAGAUGAUCCACACCUCCUGGCAAUAGCAGAAGCUGAACGUCAGAUUUUAGAGUCUGAGUAUGAUGAUCAUACAGCUCCUGAUACCAGUCUUGCUGCAUUUUUCCGCAUAUCUGCCCUAACUGUAAGCCUUCUCCACAAGUUUUAAUUAUAUACUGACUUGUAAACCUGAUAGCAUAUCCCUUUAUUCUUUUUUUUUCUUUUUGUUUUUGCAGUUGAUGACUCUUCUAUUACGGUGCGCACUGACUAUACCAGAUUAUGCAGAUGGUGACACUUCUUCAAUACUUUCUGUAAGUUGAAUCUCAAGUUUCUAUAGUAGACUAUGCAAGUUUCAACUCCAAAACCACAAAACUAAUCUAUUAAAUCUCUUUGUAGCUUUUCUUACUCCGAGCUGCCACUUUUCUUCUUCCUUGCUACAUCAUGGCAUCAGCCAUUAGUAUCUUACAUCGGCGAAGGCAAAGACAGGUUAGCUUUUUAGACACACUUGCAACAAAACUUUUCUUAUCAUUACGACACAGGAUUUUUUUUUUUUUUUUUAAGCAAAAAGGUAAAUUUGCGUUUUCAUGUUUUUUUUUUCCAUUCCCCAAUUUUUUUGUUGAUUAGCAAAUACUUGCGGAACCGCGUUGCCAUUCCGCAGAGUUACCAAUAUCAGAGCCAAUGAUUUACUUUAAACAAAAAAAUGAUUGAACAGGAAGCAGCGGCUUUGGCAACCAGGUUUGCGUUGGUGCUCAGCUCACGUCAACCUAGAGCCAUGAUUAAUUACUUGUCCAUGGAGCCUUGAUUAACUUUUUGAUGGAAACUAUUGAAUUCAAACUUUGUUAGCUACAAACAAGACAACCACUAGGUCUACAUGAAGGUACUCUGAAUCGACUUUAUCACAAGUUAAAAGCUUAAGACAACCACAAGGGUUCUCUACAUGAAGGUCCUUCUGAAUCGGCUUUAUCACAAGUUAAAAGCUUAAAGAAGAAGUGUCCUAGCUUAAUGCAGAGCUUUUUUUCUUAAGUAAACGAAUCUAAUAAAGAUUCUGUGUACGUAGAGUUCAGAGUUUCGGAUUUUGUGCAAUGUACAAACUGUAAAUGUCUUUCUUUUUUUUUUUUUUGCUUCUUUCCUUUUGUAAUUUGAGCAUUGAGCUUUUAAGUGACAUUCUGUUGCUCAAUACUCAAACUCUUGCGUCAAGUUUUGAAUUCUUUGGUCGAAUACAAACAAAACUUACUAAGAUCGAGCAUCGUACAAGAAGCAUGUUCAUGUUUAACUGCGGACAGAAAGGAAGAGCAAAGCUAGUUGCCCUGCAAUAACAGUUCCUUGAUGUCAUACCCUUGGACCUAACAGAAACAAAAGACAAAACAUGUUUAAAGAGUUGAUCUGUUCUUCUAACAUUGUAGUGAUCAUCCUAGCAAUGAGUUCUCUACCUGAAGAAAAGUGAGCAGCAAAAUAACUCCCGAGUUCCAGAAACCGUGUAUGACCAUCGGGGUGAUGAGAUUGCGGGUUUGCGCAUAGGAUAACCCCAAAACCGAUCCUAAACCAGAGAUAAAUUUGCAGUCAGAGACGUGUUUAUGUAUACGAGAAAGAUGCUAGUGCUAUUGGUUUUUAGUUGUGUGUUUUCACCUAGUAUAAACAGCUGCGGGAAUUCACCGGGUGUGAGGUGCGCAAGUGCAAACGCAGCUGCGCUGAUUAUGAUCGCUAUUGGGGUCGGCACCCUUAAAAAUGCACAACAAAACAAAUAUAUGUAGUUAGCUUUUUGUUUUUUUUUUAUCAGAAGCAAAAUGAGAAGAAGGAAAAGAUCUUUUUACCAUUUGGUAAGAGAGACCAUGAAGAAUCCGCGAAACACGGUCUCCUCAAGAAGUGGAGCAAGGACUCCAGUUAUCCCCACUAAGCUUAACGUGCUGCACAAAAUCAUUACAUGCAACUGUGAUCAAACUCUAGUAUUGAUACAACAUCGCAAAUGCUAUUUCUUUUGCGGAAUAUACCUUAUGUUUGAGGAUCCAAUUAAUGGGAGAAGCUUCAUCAAAGAGUCCACCUGAAAACAUCAUUACCAUUAAUUAUCCAUCAGACAUUUCAUAAAGAAGAAAUAAACUAUGAUAGUGAAAUUCUCCUAACCUCUCUUUCUGGUGUCUCUGUCCUAAACAAGGAUAAAGCAACACCUGUUAACGCAAUAGCCCCAACAGCUCCAACCAGACCUAUCCCACUCCACACCAGCCAUCCUUUUUGCAAGUUAAAGGGCUGUUUCAAAUCUGAACAUGAAACAACAACCAAAAAAAAAGAUCAAAGGCCAAAUAAAAAGUGAAAACAGUGAAAGACAGUCCCCAGAAAAGAAAAAAAAAAAAAGAGUACCAUAGCGCAAAAUGUCUUCAGGAAGCGGCUCGAAUGUUUUAGCAACGGUGAAUAUAACAGCAAGUACUGCUAGAGUUGUUAAACUGCAAAAAGUAUUUAAAAAUAAAGUUCUUCAGCAUAAAAGCAUUUCAUGUUGACAUUAUCUUAAAAAAAAGAGUAGCUUGUUGGUAAAAAAAUACCCUUGAUCCAGGAAUAAGAUCUCCGCCUUGUCGUCCAAGCUCAGCUUCUGAACGUCGAUCCCUAGAUAUGGUAAGGCUACCAUCUCAGUUAACCCUGUCAAAACAAAACUGCCUGGGAUAAUAGUUAAUAAACUGAGAUGAUUAUCUUUUCAUACUCAACCAUACUUGUGGAGUUGUAUGUUUUUUUUGAUGGGAGAGUACCUUAAACCACAAGCAAGCGAAGUUAACGAAACUGUCUGCCACUCCCAUGGCACUUCCCAUCUCUCUAGUAUCCGCCACUCUGACCCACCUCCUUGUAACUGACAAAGCAACCAACUUUUUAUAAUUUUUUUUUCCGGGAAACCAAACAUGAAGCUAAUCAAAGUUGCUGCCGGAGAAAGUAGCUACCUUUCCCUCUCCUCUAGUUUCUUUCCCAGAGUUGGAAAUGCACGCUGACCUCUGUUUCCUCCGGUAAACCGUAGAUAACCGGCGGGUUGCGAAUCCCGGAGAAAACCGGCACAAACCGCCGCGGUUAUGAGUCUUCGGCGGAAUUAAACUUCGGGAACCGGAGUUGCAGAAAAGAGACGAAGAUUUAGAUAAACACGAGAUCAUCUGCGAAACCAUCUGAAUUGUUUGAUCGAAUUUUUUUUUUUCCGGCCAAAGCAACUAGAUUGGUAAGAGUGAUCAGGAAGAGGAUAAGGUCCGAUUAAAUAAGUCGGGUAGAAAAAACCCGUAAACCAUUUACAUAUGGGCCUAAACCCAUUAGAGGCCCAAACGCUUACACGACCAACUCCAAAGCUUCUUUGUCAGUAUGUUUCUUUUUUCUUUGUCAGUAUGUAACAAAAUAAAUACAUCCCUCGUGAUUCUAAUUUGUAAUUUUGUUCCUUAGGAGAAUGAUGAUAUCCACUCAUUUUUCUAUUCAUUUUAAUAAAAAAUUCAGUUUAAUUUAUAACCAAGACAAAAAAAAUAGUUAAUAUUAUUUCAAACUUUAGUACUAAAUCACUUGCAAGUUUGCCCCCUGUUGUCAUGGUUAAUGUUGUUGACCCACAUCCAUUGAACAAAUGACACUUAGCUUUAGAGACAGCCAGUAAAUUCAUCAUGUUUCCUCUAUUUAUACUCAAAUCUAAAUCAUCCCCAAGAAAUAGUAAUACAAAAUAACAAUAGAAAAAAAAAAAAAAAAAAAAAAAAAAAAAAAAAAAAAAAAAAAAAAAAAAAAAAAAAAAAAAAGAGAAAUGGUUACUUUAAGCUCAUUUCUUCUUCCACACCAAACACAUCUUUUGAUUUCAUGAUGAGCAAUAAUAGUAACACUCUCCACGGUCCUUUCUCUUCCUCUUCUACUUCUUUCUCUUACUUGACAAGCAAGGAAGACGCUCUCACGCAGAAGAAACUAAAGAUUGGUAUGAACAUGGACACCAAUCCAGAAGAGGAUCAAGAUGUUCUUGGAGUUAGCAAGAAAGCUUCUGAAGAUAUUGAGAUUGGUGUGUUUGGAGCUGAGAAGUACUUCAACGGAGAUAUGGAUUCCGACCACGGUUCUUCACUCGUGUCUCCUUCAAUCGAGAGAAUCUUCGCUGGUCCGAAGCAAAGCUCCAAAAAUUCCUCCGAAACUCCGAGUCUUCGGUCUGAAUCCAGCUGGAAUAGCCAGAGCUUGUUGCUUCAGAACAAGAAAAAGAAGAACCACAACAACAGCCCUAGCUGCAACAGUUACUUGCAGGAGAAGGAUGUUAGUACUAGCAACCAAAAGGCGAGUAGCAAGAAGAGCUUUCUCCUGAAUCUUGGCUGCAAAGGCGUUUGUUUUAACUGGAAUGCAGUGGAUGUCGUCGACGUCGACGAGAAGAGAAGAACCUCUGGUCUGAAGAAGAUCAAGACGCAGUUGAGUUUCUCUGGAGAUCUAAGCUCGGAGAUGAAGCUUCAUCAGCAACAACAGAAGGCAAUGUUAGAGCAGAGGAAGUCUCUCGAAAUAUUUGGAUCUCCUCUUAUUGAGAAGAGAAUCAUUUCAAAGAACUUACCAUGGGAAUACUCAACCUCUGCUAAGCACGAAGAAGAAGGAGAAGAUGGGAGUGUGAGUGAUUUAAGUUCAGAUCUCUUUGAGAUUGAGAGUGUAACAGGGAAGAACAAACCCUAUCUUGCAAGGCAAGAAAGCAGCGAUGCAGAGUCACCGGAUUGUUAUGCGCCAAGCGAGGUAAGCAUAGCUUGGAGUGUAGUAACGGCUAGUGUUGCGGAUUACUCUGUUAUGUCUGAAUGUGCUACGAGUCCUGUCAAGCACCGGUCAUUCCAGAUUCCUCGAAUCCCUAUAACCGCCAAAUCAAACCGAGAAAACGAGCCUCAUAGACAUAAACCGAGAAGUGGUGGUGGUUUGUUGUUGGGCUGCAAGAGUCAUAAAGCUGUCAGAGUUUCAGGUGAUUCGUACACAAACAUGAACAGAACACCGAGUUAUGUUCCAAGGUUCCCUGCAGAAGCUAAUCCAACAAGUAUCGAGACAAGGAGGAGAGUAAGCAGCAGUUCCGUUUCUCGCACGCAAUCUCCUUUUCUGUAUAUUUAGUGACGCCCUAAAAAACCUGAGGGUCAUUUCUCUUUACAUGUAAUGUUUAUUGAGUGAAAAAGAUUUGUUUUGUUAAAUACCAUAUUUAAAUUUACUGUCUUGUGAUCCAAGAACUCAUUUAUCUUCAAUCAAUGGAGGACAGCAAAUCAAAUAUUUAGCAUCAAUCAAUCCUCAAAACACACAAGUUUUACCGACCACAAAAUGAGUCUAAGAUGAAAUGUGAUCCAAGAACUCAUCAAUUAUCGCUUGCACCAUGUGAACACUAGACACUUGCAAAAAAAGACAUACCAAAGAAUGCAAACCCAUGUGACCUAUGAAUGUGUAGCUAUAGCCUUUUGUUGACUCAGGAGACAUAUCUUAAUGCAGCACAGAGACUGGUCACAAACACACAAUGGUCCACCUCAUUUUCAUGUGCUUGUCUCAAGAAUAGAAAUAUACCUGAUUAGGGGUUUAGAUUUAACGGUUUAAUGAAACUCCGUACGAGUUUGCCUAAAAGAGCCAAUAAUGAGGAGUCUCAAUUAAUCAAUGACAGUGUCCAUUUCACCUAACAUGUCUUAGACGCCAAUCCAGAAUCUUCUGGUCCAGAACUCAUGUCAAGACCAUGUGGUUGAUAGUGAGAUAAAGUAGAAGAAGACAAGAAACCUUAACUGUAUCAUUGAUGAUGAUAUGUCUCGGUAACCUACUCAUGGGGAAUGGUAGGUUUUGGGAAGAUGAUUGAUUGUAACACAGCUUAAAGUUCAAAUCCAAGAUUCCGAUCUCACCAUGAUACAAAGUACAAAACCUUUAACACAGUGAACAAAACAAGGUACUUGAUUGGCAUAUCAUAUUUCAGAUACAUAGAUGAACUCAGAUUUGUCAAGAAAACAAACCCUGUCCUAAAGUAUUAUUGGAUCCUGAAGAUAAGUAUUGUAUCGUUUUCAAAGGUCCACUUUAUCAAUUAUUGAGCAAUCAAUCACUUCAUUGGUCUAUGAAACUAAACCAGAUAGAGAACCAUGAUCAAGUUUUCAUGUGUAAGGGAUAAGAAGAAGAACAGCAAGAAGCAAUGACUGUGUGCGUAUGAAGUUAACUAAUAAAGGAGAUAAAUGAGACCCUCACAAGUCUCAUAAUCUGAAAUUGUAAGCAGAUUCAAUAGAGAAUAUCUGAAGUUUUUGAUAUUACAAAAUGAGUUUUAGUGCUAGCUUACACAGAGACAUACAUCCGCAGAUGGAAAAUGAGAGAUUGGAAUCGUAUGUACACAGUUACAAGUACACAGAGAGGUUACAGUAGUUCUCUAGCGAGUAAAUGAUGAAGUAACGUAGCAGUGAUAACGAAGUUGCAAAAAAGGAAAAGUUACUCAUCUUUGGAUGCUUUGAUUGGCCGUGUCUCAAAUCCACCAGUGGCUCUCUUCUCAAGCGAAUAAGGCAAGUAAGUACCGAGAAUCCUAUCCCACAAGACAAAGAACGGCUGCGAGAAAUUGUAUUUACUCCCAUAGAGCUGAUGAUGAACAUCAUGGUAAGCAGAGUUGUUACUGAAGAAGAUGUGAAACGGGUUCCCGGGGAGCCAUAGUCCACAGUGAUCAUCAACCGUCUUGAUGGUAGCGAAGGAGAAGAAAAAGAUAGCCGUUCUUGGGGACAUACCGGAGAAGAGGAAAGACAAAGCACCACCGAUGGUGUCCAAGAGAAGGCCUUCUAAAGGAUGGUUGUAUAAAGCUCCAUACGAAUACGGCACGAUGAGGCGGUGGUGUUGGGAAUGGAUGUGCUUGUAUAAGAACUUGUUGAUGUGCAUGUAGCGGUGAAUGAAGUACUGCCAAGUGUCGAUUACGAGCAUGGCGAUGAUUAACUGUCUAGCGAGGAGUAGAAGGGAGAAUUGCUGCGUCGUGGAAGCAUCUGGAUCAUCACUUCCUGUUAUCUAAAGAACAUAAAAAAACAAAGGUUCAAACAGGAAAAAAGGAUGGUUAUUGAUGAUGCUAAUAAAAUGAACUUCCACCAAUAAACAUAUCUAGAGUGUACGAUAUAACAUUCACAACCUCAAACCAGUUUCUUCCAAUACAGAGAAUCAUCACAAUUUCAUGAGUCAUGACUCUGAACAAGAGAAAAAAAAUGAUAACAAAACGAUCUUAAUCUAAAACAGCAAGAAACAAGAGAGAUCUGAGUUUUGAUUCAUCAGAUAAUCCCUAGGCUUUAAAAAACUCUUUUAAUUUGCAUCGUAAAUCAUCUACAACGACGAAUCAUCAGCUUCUGGACAAUUCAAUAAAUAGAUCCCUAACCCAUCCAUAAAGUUUCGACCUUUCAAUCAAAGAGUGUAAAGAGAGAUAAGGAGAGAGAGAGACCUUGAAGAGGAUAACGGAGAUGAUGGCCUGAAGAGUCUGCUGAAGAAGAACGCCCUUGACGACGGCAGAUUUGGUAACGAGAUUCUUCUCGUCCUCGUCCACCUUGGAAUGCAAUCGAUACCUCUCCAAGGAUCCUAAGCAAACGUACAUCCCUGAAUACACCCAAUACACCAGAAUCGGCACGAACGUCCCCAGAAACUCAUCCGAAAUCUCGAAACCCAUCGUCUAGAAGAAUCCUAUGUAUAUAUGUUCUCCUAGACGAAUCAAACACCGCCUGAAGAAGAAAACCGAAUCAGUCUUCGCUAAUUCCUCCCACCUAAACUAACACGAAGAGAUUCAGGAAUCUUCUUCGUCCGCCGCACGGUGUUUUUUCUUUUAUCUCUCUUUCUUCUUUCUGCGUCGAGAGGAAGACGAAGAAAGAAGAAGACGCGGAAGAUCUAAUAUUAUUAUGACUUUUCAAUUUGUGGGACCCGGUUAUUCUGGAUUGUCCACGUGGCCCGAGAGGAAUGGUCAAGAUGCCAACUGGUUUUGAGUUUAAUGCGCGCUGAUCUUAAUAUUAAUAAAUAAUCUGAUUAAAAUUAUAAUAUACGAUAUUGAUUUAUGUAUAAAACUCUAAAAGAAGACAUAAUCAUUUGACUUGCCUCUCUGUCUAAUUCGGUGGCUCCCUCGUGCCCUCGUGGGGUGGUAAUAAUUUGUUUUUUUUUUUUUAAUUUUUAUUUCUUUAUUUAGUUACAAGUUUCUAAACUGGAAACCUUCAUAAGAUAUAUAUAGCAAAAUGUUGGAUAAUACUGCUCUUACGAAAGUAAGAUCUAAUGUCGAAUACCAAAUAAAAUCACACCAAAAACAAGAGAAACUGGAACACUAAAUAAAACAAGUAAAUAACGAAUCUAUUGGUACAACAAGCCUAGUGCACAAGAUGACUCAUGUGCCAUAGCAAAGAAGGCAACUUUGUUAGCAAAACAUGACAAAGUCGCUUCCUUUGUGAGGGCCAAAAACAGUGGGGACAAGAACAAAGAGACAGCACAUGUAAUGUAACUUUAAGACUCUGCUUUUGUUGGCUUCGAUGAUGAUUCCUCCGGACCUCCAGAUUCUUCCACAAGCUGGUUUAAGAUUAGACAGCCAAGAGCAAGCAAUGUUAUCUUUCUUAAGUCGAGUAGAGUCAGCCAGUGAUUGAGUGAAAUAGAGAGGUAGAGAGUGGAACGUACCAAAGAACCGACUUGCUCAUAGGCUCUCAUUACUUUUGAAUCUUCCUCGUAUUCAUAUCCCACUUGUAGAAUCCUUGGCCCGUUCACUGACCAAAAUGCCCUUCGUCCUGCCUCCUGCAACAUCAACCCAAAGAAGUUUUGACAAUAUCAGCGGACAUUUCUCUAGAAAAAAAAAAAGAAGGCGAGAUAGAGAAUUGUUAUACCUGUAAGAUGAUCAAAUAUAUAGCUUCUAGUGUCUGAACACGAAUGUCAGCAUCAGUAACUGGCUCUCGCUCAAUGGCAAGCGCACUUCCAAGCUCAGGUGGCAUUUUUGAGAUAUCUUCCUCACUGUAUAUCUAAGCAAGGUAAAAACCGAAAAGUCAGAAGCUGUUGCCCUGUAAAUUUGCUUUCAAAGAAGUAGCAGCUAUAAAACGAAAUCAACAAACCUUACUGCCUGCAACUGGUAGAAGCAGAGCGGGCCAGAGAAACUCUGAUAUCAAGAGAAUAUUCUCCAGCUGGUUCUUGGCUUCAAAGGAGCAGUUACGGAUAGUCCCAGCAACCUGAAAAUCAUUAAGCAUAAUUCUAAAGGAUAGGUUAAGCAAAGAGUUCAUUAAAGAGGACAAACUCUUUUAAACGUACCCCUUUCUUACGCAAUUGGUUUGUUGAAUCAAACUGCCUAAUGAUCUGUUUUAAUAGUCCCUUCUUUGGCUCCAGUAACAUUUUCCUCCCAUCUUCUGUUUUCGAUACGUUCACUAGGAUUGAGCCAACAUGCUCAAACUGAUCAUCUGUUGCAUAGAAAAAGAAAAUAAAACAUCAAAUUAUUCCUAUGUUCACAGAUAAGCAAAGGAAAACAAUGGGGCACUAAACAUUAACACUAAGCAACUAAACAUAACCUUUCCUUAUGAGCUCUGGAAACUACUCAAUGAUUUAAAUGCAUAUAUAACGGAGUCAGAAUCACAAAUAUAAGUGGACAACUUAUAACUAGUAAACUAUGGGACUUGUAGACCUUUGGGUCUUACUAGGGAUUAGAUAUAUAUAUCGAAAAUUACGUAACAAACUGAAGACUAAAGAGCUCAGAGCAUACCAGCAGUUUCUCCAGAAGACCUGCAAAACGACCUAACAAGCUUCAUGAUAUGUAGUCCACGCAUCUUCUCGUCCUCAAUCUAACAAAUGUCAUAACGUUUAACAUAACUAGCUACCUCACCGUUAAACUACCAAAAGACAAAACCCCACACACUCUUACACAAAGUUCGCUUAAUAAUGCAAAUAAAAUCUGAGGAUAAACUACAAAGAUAAAUGAAUAACCUGAAGCAAGGAAGAAACGCCAUCAUCCAACUGAGUGAGAUUCACUAGAAGCAUAACAAGCAAUCUGGUGAUACAAGACUCUGGAUUAUACAACAUGUCCAUGGCCACUUUGAUCAAACCCAUCUGAAUCAUCUUCCCGGCUAAUUCGGAGUUCUGGGAAAGGUUUACAAGAGCCUGAGCUGAUGGCUCUGAGACCUCCUGAUUCAAAAAAGUUUCAACCUUUAUCAAUACUACUAAUCCAAAUCUAGAAAAAAUUGGAGCAUUUUUUAGGUUUAACUAAUCAAAGGACCUUGCUUUCGCUAAGGAGACGAGACAGUGAUGGAAGUAGAAUCUCGGAAUACUUGGAUAGAGAUUGUAAACCUUCCUCCGAGCCAGUUAAUCCACUAACAAUCUCCACCGCAGCUUUCUUCACCUGCACGUUUGUUUCUUCAUAUAAUCAGAAUUCAAACCCUAGAAUCUAAAGUUGUCGGUGCAUCUCAGAAACAGAUGAAACCAAAGUUAUAUAUAUAUAUAAAAAAAAAGCUUACAGGAGGAGAAGGAGACGAUAGAAACUCGACAAGCUCUUCUAGCUCCGUCGCCAUAUCUCUAGUCUACGAGGAAGAGUUUCGCCUUAAAGAGAGAGAGGGUAAUCACGUUGUGCUCUCCACAAACUUCUCUGCGCGCAAUGUCUCCGCCGGCGAACGCGAAAAAUCCUCAGGGUUUUUGUUUCUGUGACGAAUACAAACACCCCAAGCUGAUCCAGAAGGUUCCUAGAACCGAAAAGGAAAAAAACAUAAAUGAAAACCGGUCCAAACAUUAAACCGGGAUCGCGAACCAAACACAUACAAAAGACAGAGCCGUGCCUCCAUGUCGGAUUUUCAUCUCCCUCUGUAAGAAAUAAAUCUUUCACGUUUGGGGGUUGAAGAAAAGAUGGAAGCUUGUUUGAGAUGUUCACGAGGAGGAAGCAAUCUAAUUGAAGCGUUGAGACCAAUCGGCAAAUUCUACGGUUCUCUCCGCUCUUCUUCUUCCUCUGUCUCUUUCAGCACCGGUUAGUUUCUGAGUCUCCUCUGUUCCAGUGAGAUGCAUUUUGAUUCUAGUGAAUCCUAAUCUGUCAAUAAGGGUUCUUAUAAACGAUAAUCAAAAUGUAAACUUGAUGCACAAAAACUGAUUUUUUUUUUUUUUUUAAAUUGGGUCUCUGUGAAGAAGACAAGCCGGUGAAGAGAGCUUAUGAUGGUUUGUUACUUGAUGCUGGAGGAACCCUUUUGCAAUUGUCGGAACCUGUCCAUGAAACUUACGCUUCCUUGGGCCAAAAAUACGGUCACUUUCUUUAUACUUGUUCGUUUCUUCUUUGCUUUCUCGGAUGAUCUCUGAGUUGUUGUAUCUACUUCAGGUCUCAAGACAACUCCAGCUGAGAUCAAGCAAGGUUUCAAGAGAGUUUUUGCAUCUUCCUGGCCUGAGAAGUUGCGUUACCAGGGAGAUGGGAGACCGUUUUGGAAGCUCGUUGUUUCGGAAGCUACUGGUUGUUCUGAUAAUGACUACUUUGAAGAAGUCUACCAAGUGAGUAUUAUUGAAGCUGAGUUCUGCUCUUUUAAAUAGUCUUCAAUCUUCAAAUAACAAUUGCUUUCUUUGGCUUAUGUUGUUCUCUUAGUAUUACGCGAAUGGUGAGGCGUGGCAUCUCCCAGAAGGAGCUUAUGAGACAAUGUCACUACUGAAAAAUGCUGGAGGUUAUUGUUUACAUUGGAGAAGUAGAACUCUCUCCUAUUGUUUUGUACUCGUUCUUGCUGAUUUCUGAAAUUUGGGUCUAAGGUGAUUGCAGUUAAGAUGGCUGUUGUCUCCAAUUUCGAUACCCGCCUUAGGAAGCUCUUGAAGGAUCUUAAUGUCAUAGAUUUGUAAGCUUUGCCAUCUUUUGUUUAUUAAACCUGAAAAGUGAGAAUUCUAUAAUAAGCUUUGCAAUCUUUGAUUUGCACUGUUAAAGGUUUGACGCUGUGAUUGUGUCCUCAGAAGUCGGAUACGAGAAGCCUGAUGGCCAAAUCUUCAAAUGCGCUUUAGGUUCUUCAUCCUCAACAGAAGUGUUGUUUCCUUUGAAUCUAAUUUUAUACACUACUUAUAUUGUAUAUUGUGUGUCAUGUCGCAGAGCAAAUCAGCGUAGAAGCAAACAGAGCAGUGCAUGUUGGAGAUGAUGAGGGAGCAGAUAAAGGCGGUGCAAACGCCUUGGGCAUUAAUUGUUGGUGCGGCACAAAUACCUUUUUUAAGUUCUUCGUCAUCUCGGUGAUUUUUAAAUCCUUCAUGAUCUAUUCUUUCGUUUUAUAAGCAGGUUAUGGGGAAAAGAUGUGCAGACAUUUUCAGACAUACAAGAUCGGAUUUUGGUUUCAGAACACUAAGCUUCAAAGAGCCUAUGCCCAAUGUUGUUUAGCUCUGGUCCAAUGGAGGGAGUGGUGGAGCACCAUUGGAGUGUCUGGCAUUACUAAUGCGAUUGGUCCUGCCAUGAAAGUAUUUUUAGUUACCCACCUUAGGUAGCUUAUGCAUUUUAGGCAUUGAUAAUGUAAUGGGAUAAUUAAAAAAAAACAUCGUUUGUCUUGAAUAGUAUUCAAACCAAAACCAAAUCAUAUUUCCACCGUCUUUACAAUCGCAUGUUGCAAUACAAUUAUCCCAGGGGGGAACAAAUUGUAUUGAGACUAAAGAAGCGUCAUAUUGAUGUUUUGAGUUGUUAUAAAAAUUUGCUGUACCAGAGUUAUUUGCAUGCAUACUUUUAUAACAACUCAAAACAUCUAUUUGACGCUUCUAGUCUCAAUACAAUUUCAUAACAACUCAAAACAUCAAUUUGAUACUCUGGAAAGUGUCACAGACAAAGUUUUUUGUAAAAUAAAAACUACUUAUUUAUUUUUUCGGUAUUUUACAAUUAUCCCCGGGGGAACAAAUUGUAUUGAGACUAAGGAAGCGUCAAAACUAGUUUUUAUUUCAUAAAAAAUGUCAUAAUUUUCUUUCAGAUUUUCAAUCAAGUAAAAUGCUCAGUCCAGUAAAACCACGUUUGAUUCUUUCUGAGAGAUCCAUAUAUCCCUACGAAGUUAUAUGGGCCGUAACAAGUCUCUUUUAUAUUUUAUAUGGGCUUUCCCUCAAGCCCAAAAUAAAAACCUUUCAGUUGACCUAGAAAAGACCAGAUUGUAUAAAUUAAAAGCCAUUUUUCUGAGAGCAGCAGCCACUGUUGUUCAGGUUGAGGAGAGUCGCCAUGGGAAGAAGUAAGUUUCUCGAUCUCUUUGAUUGCUUAUGUCCUGUCGUAAUUCCGACAAACAUUGUAGCUGAUUAAAAUGUGAAUCCGUUGUAGGACCGGCUAGGUGUUACCGUCAGAUCAAGGGCAAGCCCUACCCUAAAUCACGCUACUGCCGUGGUGUCCCGGAUCCCAAAAUAAGGAUCUACGAUGUCGGGAUGAAGAAGAAAGGUGUCGACGAGUUCCCAUUCUGCGUGCACUUGGUCUCGUGGGAGAAGGAGAACGUCUCCAGCGAAGCGCUCGAAGCUGCGCGUAUCGCUUGCAACAAGUACAUGGUGAAGUCCGCGGGGAAAGAUGCUUUUCAUUUGAGGAUUAGGGUUCACCCGUUCCAUGUUCUGAGGAUCAACAAGAUGCUUUCGUGUGCCGGAGCUGAUAGGCUCCAGACUGGUAUGAGAGGCGCUUUCGGAAAGGCUUUGGGGACUUGUGCUAGGGUUGCGAUUGGUCAGGUGCUUUUGUCUGUGAGGUGUAAGGAUGCUCAUGGUCACCAUGCUCAGGAGGCUCUGAGGAGGGCUAAGUUUAAGUUCCCUGGUCGUCAGAAGAUUAUCGUCAGCAGGAAAUGGUAUUUUUUUUAUCAUUUCACAUUGUUUUUUUUUAUUUUUUUUGACUAAGCUCAUCGAGUUUGUGACUUUUUUUUUUGUUUCAGGGGUUUCACGAAGUUUAACAGAGCAGACUUCACGAAGUUGAGGCAAGAUAAGCGUGUUGUUCCUGAUGGUGUCAAUGCUAAGGUAUCUUGCUGAUGCAUGAAAUUAUUACCACACUUUGAUUCUUUGACUAUCUCUUUUGUUUUUGAGUUUGACAUUGUCUUUGUUCUUUUUUGCAGUUCCUCUCAUGCCAUGGACCUUUGGCUCUCCGUCAGCCAGGAAGUGCAUUUUUGCCAGCCACCUACUGAAGUUUCAGAACUGUUGUCUGCUCAUCCUUUAAACUUCUUUUUUAUUUCCUUUAAACUAUUGUCUUAAAAGUUUUUAAUUGGACACAUUCACUAUUCUGAACCUUUGUGGAAUGAUAUUUGCUCUCUAUGUUGGCCAGUUUACUUCUUUUGCAAAGGUUUUUCUCAUUGCCAAAACCUUUGAUUCUUGUUUACUGCAGAACUACUAAAAUUAAAGGAUUU